CAUCGACCACAUCUAUACCAAAACCUCACCAGACAUAAUCAAAGUAAAUAAACCAUUCAUAAUGCUAAGUAGAUAGCUCAAUUGCAAUAAUGUACUACAUAACACGCUAGUACAUUAUGCAUCACCAUAAAUACGUGAACCCUCCUUUCCUCCUCGUCAUUUUCUUUAUAGUAUAUACCAAUGUUUAACUUUACAUUGUUUUUUUUAUUAGUCUUUGCAAUAAUUAUCCAUUUUCUAAAAUUAGAGUUAAAAUUGUAUCUUAAAUUAAAACAAAUUAUAAAAUAACAAUAAAUGGUGGUUUUAAGAUUUAUUUGAGAAAUAUGUAAAAUAAAAAGAAUAUAUACUUUCUUUGUUUUGAAAACUCUUUUUAGAGUGGGGAAAGGGCCACAUCUUAGAUUUGGAGUGGGAUUGAAUAGGUAAAGUUUUAUUCUUUGGAUCCUACCAUCUCCCCCUUUUACUUUUGUUCUUCAAUACCCAAUUAUUGAAUCACCUCUUCUCUUCUCUUUCUUUCUUUUUAAUUUGGACUCUUUCACUUACUAAAACCUAAAGAGCUAAUCUAUCAUUUUAUUAUUAUUAUUAUUGUUGAUAAAUUGAUAAUAUAAAUUUAAAUAGUUUAAUUAUAAUGUUGAACUAAUUUUUGUUUUUAAAAAAAUUAAAUUAUUUUUUCUACCUGAAAUUUUAUAAAUUUAUUUAUGGUUAUUUUUGGGUGGUUUGGAAUAUGAAGUAUUAGAAUUGAAGAAGAAAAAGUAGGUAAUGAAGUUUGGAGAAAAGAGUAAAAAAGAAAAAUCUUAUCCAAUCUUGAAGAGCUUAUUAAAAAGUAACUUUUCUAAUAAAAAGGAAAGAAUGAGAAAUUAUAAUUUAAUUAGUUAAGUAAUUAAUUAGAAAUAAUAAUAAGAAAGAAAGACUUUGGUGGGAGAAAUAUAAAGGCUAUGUCAAAGGCUACCCCUAAACCUACCACCGACUAUCAUUUUGAAUCUCUACUUUUCAACAAUUCCCAUUUGGACCUUCCCCCAAUCAUUUUCUUUUUUCUUACAAUACUCAUAUUUAGUUUGUUGUAUUUGUAAAUUCUUUUGCAUGCAUGUUAUAUAUUAAUUAAUAUGUUGGACAUAUGAUUGGUUUAUUUUGUUAUAAUCUGAUUAUUUAUAAAUUGGUGUUUAAUUUCUUAACUUAUAAUAAUGAUACUGUUAUCUUGUUGUUGGUUUUAAUGGAAGAAAGAUCAACAUACAAUUGAAAUAGGUGUCAAUUUAACCUUUUCCUCAAAAGUCUUCUAUGGCUCUUGUCUUUUUAUAAUUGUCAUAAAAGAUAUAUCAUAUAAUUGCUUGAUUUCAAGAGAUGUGGAAUGUCUACAUUGAAGUUGGAUUGUAGUUAAUUUAAUACUCACACAAAUUAAAAAGAGCUUGGAUAGAUAUAUAUAGUUGGAUUUGGUUUGAGCUAUCCAAAUCAUUUUAAAAGACACACACAAAGAUUUGGUUUGAAGUUAUAAGAUAGUUUGAUAGCAAUCACUAUGUAUAUCUUAAAAUUUCUUUAUUAUGAAAUGUGGUAUGAGCAAAAUGUUGAUUAACUAGAUCCAUUUUGUAAUUUCUAAAGUAACUUUAGAAAUUACUAUAUAUCUUUUUUUUGUUCUUUGGAAUGAUUUACAUAUUUCUUAAAUAAAAAGUUGUCAAAUGCUUGAUCAAAUUUGGAAGUUUUCAAAAUAUUAGUUUGGUCUUUGAAAAUACUCAUAUAAAGUAGAUGAUAAAUCAAGAUAAAAUUAAAAUAAAAAAACAAAGAUGAAAAUAGAUAUAAAAAACAAAUAAUAUCUUUAGAAAAACAAAAUCUCCAUCACAAGAUCUUCUUUUGAUAGUGUUCAAAUAGAUUAGGAUCAAAGUUUAAUUUUACAUGUGGAUCUUUAGGAAGAAAAUUCACAAGCUAUAAUUAGAAAAGUUCAGAAAUAAAUGAAACAUUAUUUCUUUGGCUCCACUCAUUGACCUUAUUAGUUGUGAUUUAGGAUACAAUCUUUAUCAGCAAAUUUAAACAUACAAUAAUAUCUUAAUUAAAUAAUUUGAAUCUCAUUCAAAUUUUAUUAUCUAUAAUAAUGAAUAUAUAAUACACAUCCAUAUAUAUUCAAUGCAAUAAACAUACACAUAUAUUCCUCGAUAUUUAAUAGUAAUGAAGGUUAUGGUAAUCCACAUGAAUUGGUCUUGGCUUGUUGAAACAUAACAUAUGACUAUGUUUCUCUAAAUUGGAGGGAUAUCCCCUUUAGGCUUUUUAUUUAUAGGUUCAUGGAUGAUUCCUCCUAUCUUUACAUAAUAAUGGUUCCUCUUUAAAGGCUAACUUUCAUUUUAAAAAUCUAUACCUUUUUUUUUCCUUUGGCUCUUUCAAUCUUUUUUGCAAUUACUCUCUUUACCCUAAUCUACCACAAACUGAUAUCAUUGUCAUUGACAUGCCUAUCUUCUAGGACUCACAAAAAUUUGUGUCUUUUUUAUUGAAUUUGUUUACCCAUUUGUGUGUAAUGAAAUGUAAAACUAGUGGACAUAUGUUCUUCCAUUGUGAUUUUACUUUGUAGCUUAUUAAUUUUCAUCCUUCCAUUUUCAGGUCUAAACUGUUAAACUUCUUUUAAAUCAACUGACAUUAGAUUGUCUAAAACGAUCUUUCUUCGUUUCUUUUUUAUGUUAUCAAACACGUCAAUUAUAUAAUUUAAUUGUUUUUUAAUAUGAUGUUACAUAUAAAGGACCGUUCGACUCUCAGAUUAUGAAGGAGUGGAGUGAACUAUUUUAGCUCACUCCAUGUUUGCUUCAAGGAUUAUCACAAUCCUAGAAUUAUGACUAUUCUAUUUUUCUUUUCUUUCUUAUUUCUCUUACUCCUCACUCCCUCCUUUCAUUAUUUCUUACUUUUCCAAAUAUAGAUUAUAAUAAUUAAAUUAUAAUAAUAUGAACUCCAAAUACAGACUAUAAUUACAUAAUUCACCGACUAUAAUAACUUAUUUCACGCCCCACAACAUUCCGGAAGAGGUUACAACUAUAUAUUAAUUUAACUUGUUAGAUUUUGAAAGAACAGUGAAGUAAUUUGUUCUUAAAAUUGAAUGUAAAUUUUAUUUUUAUUUUAAGAUACUUGAAUUGAAAAAAAAGGUAAAAAAAAGAAAUAAUAAUUGAAAAGGCGCCUGAAACAGUGAGUGUACGACACGUGGCAGUGUGGAAUUAUUACAAAAAUGAUAUUCAUAAAUUGAUGAGAGACGACUAGUCAAACCUCUCUUGAUAAUGACCCUUCCUUUCCCUUUUACCGAUUACCUUCCCCCCUUUUUCUUUACUUCAGGAGACCAUUUUUUUUUAUGUUUCCUUUCCUUUCCUUUCCUUCCAUUUUUGUUUUAUGUUUUUAAAUUAAUUAUUGUAUCCAUUUAAAUUUCAAAUUAAUAGUUAUAGUUAUGACAAGUUAAAUCUAGAGAGCUUUUAUUAGAGUCUUUAGAUAGAGAAUAUGCUCAAGUGUAAUUCAAAUGGAUGACUACUAUGGCAGUUGAGUUUGUAGUUGAGUCUCUAUAGAUUAAAUAGUACAAGAUCUUUAGGGUGUGAAACAAAAGUAGAAUGUUAUGAGAGUUAUGUAUAGACAAUAUAUUAUAUGUGAAAAUAGAAUAAGAAAAUCAAAAUUCUAAUAUUAUACACACCCUUUGACACAGAGAAAGCAGAUUUUGGAUGUAUAUAACUGCAUGAGAGAAAGAAGGUGUUGAGAGAAAAGAGUUAGAUUUGAUUUGAGACGCCAUGCAUGUCUUUUUGUACAUAUAACAUAUAUAUAUACAUAUAUAUAUAUUAUGUGUAAGAGAUUUAGGCAGAGUGUGUAUGGAAAGAUAAAGCAGAAAGGGCCUAAGGCUGAAGAAGGACCAGAGAUUUGCUGCACAAAUUUGGAGAUUUUGGAGCUAUUGCUCUUAUCUUAUUAUAUUCUUCCAUCAUUUUUACACACUCCUUUUCUUUUCUUUUUGUUUCUUCCCAAACUAUACACUUUUUUCUUUUCCUUUUAAACAAACAUAUCCUUUUCUAAGAAUCUCACUCACUUUUUAAAAAAAAUUUCCCCUUUUCUCUUUUUUAACUUUCGUUUCAUGUCCAUUCUAUAUUACUUCAUGUUAGAAAUGCAUGGGUCGAGAGGUUUUUUUUUUAAAGAGAAACAUUCAUACAUCAUUUCUAAUCACUUAAAUUUGGUUUAAUAUUUACUUUUACACUUUUGAAUGAAAAUUCUCUCUUCUCAUAAUUAAAAGUGUGUUUAAAGAGUAAUUUUAAUCAUUUUAGAAUCACUCUCAAACAUGUCUUUAGAGUAUUUAAUAUUAUGUUUUUAUUUACUUAUGUGAUCUUUUAGCCAUUAUAUCGUAUAACUAAUAUUUAAUGUUGGUUUUACAACAUUUUAAUUCUUUUUUUGGCAAGAUAUAAGAUGAGAGAAUUAAAUUUUUAACUUCGAGCUUGAUAUAUAUAUUAUAUACAAUAUGUGAAUUGAGCUAUGCUCAUUAUUCUAUUAACAACUUUAGGCUAAGUGUGUUUGAAACCCUAACUUUACCACCUCUCUUAUUUAUUCUCUAUGAUAUAUUUAGUUCAAAGCACAAACUAGAGGACCUAGCCUAUCUCGUUGACUCUAAACACAAUUCUCGUUGCAUUCACUACGUCAUACCAACCACACAAUAGUUAUUUGUUUAGUUAACUUUAUUGAUAAAACUUUAAAUACCAUUUUAAUUUAAAGUCAUGCUUUCAACUAUAUUGAAACUUAAAUGAUUAAUUUUAAUUAUUUGGAAGAUGUAAAAUUGAUAUGACAUCAUAACACAAUUGGAGUACACUAUUUUGGUUGAAAUAAGUUGAUUAAAGUAAAUGUAUGCUGUCAAAAGGGAGUGAUUAAUUAAAAAAGAUAUGAAAGUAAGAGCUUAAUGAUUAAAUGAGAUUUAGAUUUGAUAACUAUUAUUAAAAGUCUCCAACACCAACUAGUUUUAAAUUUGUUUUUAAUGUGUUUUACUACUAUUGAAAGUGCUUUUUUCUUUUCUUCUCUUUGGUCAACAUUAACACUAUUAUCAUCCAUUGAAUCACGUGCAUGUGAGGAAGAAUCUCAAUCCAAAAGAACAAAAUUCCAAAACCCCAAAAAAGUAUUGAGAGAAAUAUUCACAUAAUAUAUAUAUUAAUUGAUAAAAAUGUAAUCAUUUCAAAACCUCAUAAUUUUGCACCACAAAAUUUUGGCAUUUGGUCAACACCAACCAAAUGAAUAUCAACACCCAAAAGAAUAUAUAACUUCCUUUUAACAAUUAUUUUAACUAAUUAUUCACAAAUAUAAAUAUAUUGAAUAUUUAAAGUUGUUUUUUUUAGCAGUUUUAGUUUAAUGUAAAAGUUUAUAUUAAUCAACCAAUAUCAUGUUUUAAAAAGAUAAUAUCUAAUAUUUUUUAAAACACAUGUGAGACAAUAUAAAGAAUGACAUCGUCAUAUUCUAAAAAAUAUAAGAAAUCAUAGAUUUAAAGCAUUACAGUCGGUAUGUUGUUAUUAUUAUGAUUUGAGAAAAAAGUAAUAGUUGUAAAAAGGAAAAAAUUCUUUGUUUUUGGACAACACAGUACGUUGGGUCCAAAUCAAUAAAUGGUUUAUACAGCUCUGUCUAUUACACACGUAACAACCAACCAUAUCAUAAAUAUUUUUUCUUACCUCUAACAAUUAUAGUGUACGUGCCUGUGGCACGUGUAAUGCCGGUGGAAACUCGAGAAACCAAUAAUAAUAAUAACAACAACAAAGGUCGAAAAAAAAUGAGGAGGAAGAAGAAAGAAAGGGGGCCAGUUGGUUUGCCUUGGGUUUCCCAGCUGGAUGUUUUUAUAAGUUUUAUAAGUUUAGUAGAUGGUGAUGGUGAGAAAUAGUCCAUUGUUUGGUACUCUACAAACAUGGAUUUGAUAGCCCUUUUUGUUUCUUUCUUUUUUCCCCAACCUCCCCUUUUCCUAUUCUAACAAUCAUUCAAUUUGUUUUCAUUCUUUUCUCUUCGUGUGUUUGUGCACACAAGGGUAUGAAUUCAAAAUUCCAAAUUGGUUGAAUUUAGAUUUGUUAGGGUUUGAGACAUUCGUCGUCUCCAUUCUAUGUAGAGUUUUGUUUUAGAAUACCUAAUGGGGCGACAAAUUAUUAGUGAACCAACUUCAUAACUUUUAUUUUUUUUCAAAUGUGCGCGCGUGAUAUUUAUCGUACAACUUGACGGUAAAGAGAUUGACCACGUUAUAAUUUGUUUAUUUUUUUUUUUGAAAAAUAAUUUUAUAAAAAGGGGAUAAAUACACCCAUCUCUUUUAAGAAUUUUUGUAAGUUUUUGGGGUUGGGUGGUCCUUGCUAAAGCUUUCUUUUUCUCUCUAUUUAUUUGGUUGUGGGAUACUUUUGAAGCAUUAAGUGGAGUAGAAUAUUCCAAAUUAGAAUCAUUGAUGCUGAGAAUAUAAUUAUGAAAUAUCUCCAAAACUAUAAGAUAUAGAAAUGUAUGUUUUUCUUUAUUUAUAUAUAUAGAUAUGGCUCAUUAGAAUCUUUUAAAACCUAGAUGGUGUACCAAAGUUUUGGAACAAUGAGUUUUGGUUUAGUAGGUUAACUGGUCAUACAUCUAAAUAUAUGAAAAAGUGAAACUAAAUUUGUGUUCAAAAUAUAUGAAAAUGGUCCAUUGACAAUAAGAGAAGCAACAAAUGAACAACGGCUAAAGAGAGAAAUUAAAAGAGAUGUAACGGCAUGGGGCUAUGUUGAUGAGGAGUGUGUGUACAUGAUAUGUAUAUAUAGAUUCAAAUUAUAUAUAUUGAUACACCUAAUUUCCCAUACUUGAUUUGCUUCUUUGUUUCCCUCUCUCACUCAUCAACCAACCAUCUCCCUACUCUUUACCCCACAAUUUUAUUAUAUUUUGAACCCACUCUCCCAUCACUAUCCCCACAAUACUUAUUCCCUUCAAUUUUUGAUAUUUCAUUUAUGUAUAUAGAUUCAAACACAUAUAGGCGAUGAUGAUUAUGCAACCCACCACCAUAAAACUUAAAUUGACAUAAAAUUGUAAUUUCAAUUUCAAAACCAAACCUUCCGUUUCUCACCCUAUAUGUUGUUAAGAAAAGAAGAAGGAGAAGAAGAAAGACAUAGGUUGUGUUCAAAUUGAUACUCUUAAUUUGUUUUAUAUAAUGUUUAAUGUUUUUUCCAAGGAUUAUGAAUAAAAUAAAAAUGGAGAAGAUUUUAUAAUACGCUUAUUAAGAACUGUAACUAUAAUGAUAUAGUAAUUUUAGAAACUAAUAUUAAAUGUAUAACAAUUCUUUAAAAAUUUGUAACUAUUACAAAAUUUAUCAAUAGGUUUAAGUUUGAUUGCUAAAAUAUUAUAUUAAUUAAUGUUUAUUUUAUUUGGAGGUAAUGAAGUCUAGAAUCCAAUAUCUACCUGGGUAAAACUAAAGAAUAAAAAGGAGUGAAUUGAAAAUUAUGGGAUGAUUAAUUAAGAAUUGUACACAAAAAAAUUGAUCUAAUUAAUUAGUAUGAAAAAUUUAAAAAGAAAAAAAAAAGUGAUAAAGUAUGGAUUUUAUUUAGGAAAGUGGGGUUAAAUUUAAAGGGAAAGAUGAAAAUUAGACGCUACGUUAUUGAUGGGUUGGAGUGGAAGAGACACUUUGCCUCGAAAAUAUGAAAUGUAAGCAAAGUUUAGGGAUUAGGGAUUAGGGUACCCUAAUCCUUCUCUUUUUCUAAAUCUCAUUCCUUGUGUAUUAAAUACCCCACCCUAAUGUCAUACUCUUACAUCAUUUAAAUAAUUGUCAAAAUUAUUAUAUGCGUUGUAUAUAACUAUUAUUGUACUAAUUAUUGAAAAUUAAUAAUAAUUAUUUAUAUAUAUUUUUUAAGGAAAAUUUUUAGGGAAGAGUUCUUUCUCUUGCCCCCAAACCCUAAUUACUUACUUGUCCAAUUUUUAGGAGUGCACGCUUGAGUGAGAGAAAGUUGUUUAACUUUGGAGAGCAAUUGACAUAUACGAUUUUGCACCAAUGUCCGACCGAAUUUUACUUUUAAGACAAUAGUUACACACGACACAACAUGAGCAACAUUUUGUUUUUCCAAUAGUAUGAUCCAUUCUUAUACUUUUAAGUUUUAUUUCAGUUUAAUACAUACACAUAUGUUCAAUUAUUUAAUACUAGAGAGUAUUUAAUUAAUUGAGCUAAUUAUUAUAGUUAGUGUUUAGGGUACAAGUUAUUUUAAUACGUGGACUUUAACUAUUUGUGUUUAAGGUGUAAACUAAUUCAUUUGUUUGGAUAGAAAUAGUAAAUAUUGAAACAAAGAAGGAAAUAGACUCACAAGUGAAAAACAAUAAAUAAUGUAGCAAAUAGUAAAGAUUGUACCAAAAAGAUUUUGAAAUAUAAUUUAUUGUACUUAAUUGUAGGUAAUAAAUAGUUAUAUACACUACUACUAUUGUACAUGUCACAAGCAUAGAGUGGGCUAUCCACCAACUUAUCGUUGAUGCUUGGGUCGACUCCUUGGUAUUUUAACCAUUAAAGUUUUCAUCUCCUUUUCUCUCUUUGAAAUCGACAAAUGAAAUUUUUAAGGUUAAAUUAUCGUCAUUUAGUUUAGUAUUUAUUUUUUAAACUUUUCUUGAGUCAAAGUUUUAUAUGCGUUGGGAAAAUUAUGCAAUUUUAGAAAAGAAAAAAUAUGCUUGGGUCUUUUUUAAUUUAGACUUAGAAUUUGAAUGAUUUUUUAAAAGGAAAUUUAGGAAUUAUAUGUGAGAAAAUCAUACUGAAUUUUAACUAGAUGGAAACCAUUGCAAUAGUUAUUGAAAUCAAACACUAAUAAGUUUAAUAAUUUAUUAUAAAUAGAUGGUCUAUAUUUUGGAAUUAUUUUUUAGUUAAAAAAAAGAAUAAUUUGAAAUGAAUUAGGGAUAUGUAAAUGUAUAGUAAAAAAAGGAAGUGAUGUGAAAUGGAAAAGAGUAAUUAAGUUGAAAGAUAGAGAAGGAGAGGAGAGGAGGGGUAAUGAAUCUGAGGUGUCAAUCACGCGUGGCAGAUACCUACCAUUUUGAUAUUACAUUUUACAAAGGGGCCCUCCACUGUUAGAAUCCCACGUGGUUUUCCUAUUAUAUAAUAUAAAGAUAGAAAAAAAGAAAAAGAAAAAGAAAAGAGUUUGUAAAUAACGUAAGGAGUUGGAAUCUACCUCGUUUUCAAGGCUUCGCAAAACUUUGUUGUAUCCACCGUUACGUCAAUUUCAUCAUACCUAUUCUUUGACCAAUCCAACCCACCAUUUCUUUUACUCUCUUUUUCUUUUUUCUACUUCUCACUACUCAUUUCAACUCUUCCAUUCUAUUAUCUUCUUCUAAACACAAAUACACAAACCAUGGACAUUCCACUCCAGAAAAAAAAAAGCUCAUAUUCACACACAUAACAACAUUCAAAUGCUUCCUUUUCAUUACUAUUUUAACUUUUUUAUUCCUAGACUUUAAUUAUAUUCAUCACAACAAGAAUGAAGUUUGGUUUUAAAGUUGGUGUUAUCAUCUUCGCCUUUGUACCAAAUUUUCUUUAACCACAUGUGUGUUUUAUGAUCAUGUCGAAUAACGUCAAAACGAUAGAUAUAGUUAUACUUUUUUGAAAAAAAUAAAAACCUUGACUUUAUCUAGUAGUAUAUAUCAUUUGAAUUUUAAAAGAAAUUUUAAUUAAAUGAAUUUGAUUUUUUUUAAUUAUAUACUAUAGAGAUUCUAAACUUAGUUUCACACAAUAUCCUUUCUCACUUACUACAUUAGUUCUUUUAUAUUGAAUUAAGAGAAUAAAUACUUUUUUCUUCUUAGUUAAGUUACAAAUUUGACCCUGAGAAAUGAGUACUCUUUACAAUUUUAAUUUGAUAAAACUUUAUUGACAGUCUUCAAGAAUUGAUAAAAUUUCUCAUUCGUGAAAAUUCUUAUAAUUAAAUAGUAAUUACAAUAAGAGUUAUCACAAAACACUACUUACUAUAUAUAUGUGUAGAACAAAAUGAACGGUAGAAAAAAAAAAAAAAAGGCAAUGCCUUUGAUGUGAAAAUCUAGAGAUCUCUAAAAAAUCCAUGUUUCGGUUUUUAGAUGUUCGAGUGUAUUAAUUCAAAACAAGAUAGAUUCUUAUAAAAUCAAUUAGUUAAGCUCUUUACAGAUUAGGCCAGCAAAAACAAAGAGAAUUUAAAUUCAUGUAAAUAAAAUAAAAUAAAUCAGUGAAAGCAAGUCAUUAUUGUUGAAUGAACAAUUUACAUUUACAUAUUUUUCUUGAAAAUCUAGAUAUAAUAUGAGCCAAAAUUAUGGUUUAUAUCAUUGAAAAAAAAACCUAUGUUGUAUGUAGACAUUUUUCUCUAUUAUUCUUUUAAUUGAAAAAAGUUCCUAAAUAUUUAAAGGAAAAAAUGUACAAUUUUUCUAAAAAAAUAUUUUAAUAUCCACGUUCUAAAAUAUUUGGAUAUCCAAUUUAAUGCUUUGAUUUAGAUUAUAUUAAUUAUUUACUCCAUAAAGUUUAAUUAAUAUCUGAAAAUAGAGUUUAAAAUUUAAAAUGAUUUUAUUAAUGAAAGUAAUUUAUUUAAGCUUCAUCAAAUUAAAGUUUAAACCCAAGUUGAUUCUUAAAAAAUAUUACUCUUAGAAAGUUUGGUUUUUAUUGGGACUGAAAUUAUUUAAAAGCAACACUAAUUUCCCAAAUAAGCCAUUUAUUGGUGAGUAAUAUAAUAAUUUGAAUUAGUUUAAUUAUGAGUUUUCUUUUCUUUUGUGCUUUUUAGAAUUAAACUCUUUUUUGGUACUCACAUGGGAUGCAUAGUAUUUAUGUUGAUCUGACAAUGAAAUUACUUGAGGAAAAAAAAAAGUGAAAGAAGAAAAGAAAAUAAAUGAACAAUAAAUAAAAAGAAGAAGUGAGUUAAAGAAGCAGUUGCCAAAUGCCACUCAUUGUCAACCCCCCCUCUCUCUCUCUCGUUCUAAACCAAAGUAAUGGUAAAAUUUAGACUAAUAAAUGAUAAAAAUAGUAUAUAAUCAAUACAAUUUAAAUAGUUAUGCAAGUUCGAGGGAACUUAAUUUUGAAAUUUUAAAAGUUUGAGACUAUACUUUUUGGGUUAAUAACAUGUGUACACAAUUUUUAAAUUAACAACUUAGAACUUUAUACUUACAAGCUUGAAAAAUUAGGGUUUAUGAUACAUAAUAUUUAAUUAAAGAGGCGGUUGCAAAUUAUAUAGCUAUCAUGCAUGGUUCAAAUAUUAAUUUGUAUAUGUACGUGUAUGUGAAAUAAUUGUGAAAUAAUUGUUAGAUAUAAGAAAUAUAUAGAUUUAGGUAUUGGAGUUUAAUUAAUAGUAAUAAAUGAUAGAGUUUGAGCAUAAAGUUUUUAAAUAUAUUUGUAAUGGUUUAAGAAUGUUUCUAUAAACUUAAUUAUUAGUGAUGAGAGUGGUUCGGAAUAAAAGUAUUAUAAAAUUUGAAAAAGAUUAAAUAGAAAUAGGAAAGGUUAGAGAGUAAGGAAAGAUGGGAAGGUUUUUUGGUUUGGGAUGGAAAAGGAGGAUUGGAUUGAAAGUAGUAAAAUCUAAAAGUGAAAUGGUUAUUACGAAAGUGGAAGAAAGAAAGAGAUGUUAGAUAGUUUUUAGUUUUUAGUUUUUAGUUUUUAGAAGGAAGAUAUAAAUUGGAGGAAGUAAUUAUUAGAAUUACAACUUAAAUUGAUUUAAUCAUAAUGUAGAAAAAGAAAGGAGAAAAGAGAAAAGAGAAAAAAAGAAGCAUUAAUUUCAGCCAUCUGCCACAUCUCCUUCUAUGUCCCACUUUCUUCCUUAGCUCUCUUUCUCCUCUGUCUUUCAAUUCUUUGCUGUAUAUAUAAGUAAUCCUUUCUCUUCCACCAUUUUUUUUCUUUUUCACUUUCUUCUUCGCCAUUGAUUCCUAUCUAAUUCUUUCUCUCUCCUUUAACAGUCCCGUUUGCAACGGGCACACACUCUGUCACCAUUUCUCUUAAAUACCUCAACUUCCCACAUUUUUCCCUUUUAUGCCUUUUUUUCCAUCUUCUCCAUUUCAAUUGACCGGAGGGGACAUUCUCUGGAUUGAUUCAUGAGGGUAAAACGGAUUCCACCACAACAAACAGAGGCAAUAUGAAGGUGAAGGAAAUGCACCCUCUGUGUUGCAUCUCGGUGGAUACUUUUGGAAUCGGACCAUGUGGUGGUGAUGGAGAUACUAGUAACUCCAAGGAUGAGGCUGCUGCGGCUUUGGCUCUCUCUAGAACCAAAAGCAUGCCCGCUAGUUUAGCGGCCUUUUCUGAUGGAUCUGAUGGGAAUGUCAUCAAACGACCAACCGGAUCCAAAUCAACUGUCGCUGGAGUUCUUCAUAAGUGGACUAAUUACGGUAAAGGGUGGAGAUCGAGAUGGUUUUUCCUUCGUAAUGGGGUGUUAUCUUAUGCAAAGAUUCGCCGACCGGAGAAUCUCAACCUUCUUGCUCCAUAUGAUGAUGUUCGGUUGAUCGGAGAGGAUUCGAGCAAUCGGAUUCCCAGGGGUGAUGAGAAAGGUGGAGGGAGACGAAAGCAUCAGAAAGCGGUGGGAGUGGUUCAUUUGAAGGUAUAAUAAAAACUUAUGAACGAAAUUGGGGAUUAGGAUCUCCAAUUUGAAAUUUUACGAUCUGGGUUUUUUUUUUUCUUUUUUCCUUUUAUUAUGAUUUGAUGAUCUGAUGAUCUGAAGCAGAGCAUCGAAUUUGCAAUGGGGUAUGCUUUUUAGGCCAUGAAUUUGGCGCUAAAUAGAGAAGAAUAGCUUACCGUUAUGGGGCAACAUUUACAUUCGAAUAACUUUUUAGCUUAGUGUUUUACCCAUUAAUGGCAUUUUAAUUUUUCUUUCUCUCUGAAAAUGUCUUUCUCCCUUUUCUCUCUCCCUCUGAGUCUGAGGCUGAGUCUGAUUUUGCCAGAUACUCAGGGGGGCAUUGAAAUCUGAGCAAAAAGGAAACGCGUGAAACCACAGGUUUAUAGCAUUGUUCGUCAUAUUUCUUCUUGCAUUUACUCUCUCUCUCUUUACUGGGUCAUCCUCUGAUGAACUUAAUUGCAAAAAUUUUCACAGUUUUCUAACUGCUUGUUCAUGUCUAGUGGGUCACAUCCACAGGUGGAUUAAUGGGUCAUUUUAGUUUUGACUGAAUGUUUAGGGUUAACGGAUGUUUGUUUCAUAUUUUUCUACACUGUUUGAAUCAUCAAUUUUUGUUGGAUUUGAAAUCUCUAACCUUUUUUUUUUUUUAAUCUCCCUCUUCUCCUUACACUCUCUGAAUUUCACCUUUUCCUUCCAUCCUUUUACUGUUUAUGAGAUUGAUUGCAUUUCAUCUCAUCUCUCUAAACAUAUUUUAUGGAUGUUUUCCAAAUCUGUACUUGCCAAUGCAAUUACUUCAGGUUUUCUCCCUCCUUUCUUUCUUUCAUUGACGCACUGUUUUUUUAUUCUUGCUUUAGCCGACAACUCAAAAAGAGAGAGAGAGAGAGAGAGCGAGCGAGAGAGAGAAAGAGAGAGAUGCCCUAUUGAAGGAAUAAAAUUUGUGUUUAUUGACACCAGUUUUUUCCUAUUACUUUUAUUCUCCCUUUUGGGUAUGACCCAUUUUUAAAGAAUUUAUUCUAAGCGAGUAACUAUUUGGCUUACUUAUGGAGUAAUCAAAAUGAAAUCACCACCAAGAAAAAAGGCAAAAAAUGUUAAACUUUUUAGGAAUUGGAUAGGUUUUGUGCUUCCUCGCAGGCUUCAGAAGAUGUUACUAGUAAUCUUGUGGGUUUUGUUUUGUGAGAGGAAAAAGUAAAAGAAUAUAAUUUGUAAUGGCUUUUGAUGUAAUGUGCCAUUUUCUAAUUUCUAAAAUUUGUUAACACAGAUUGGAUCAUUUCGAGAGAGCAAGUCGGAUGAUAGGAGGUUUUAUAUAUCCACUGCUACAAAGACUCUUCAUUUGAGAACUAAUUCAAAGAGUGAUCGAGGGGCUUGGAUUCAAGCGUUGGCUUCGAAUCGCUGCAUAUCUCCUCAAACAUCAUUGAAUUAUAAUCUCUCUUCCGUGCCAAGUGAUUUAUCAGUGUCGACGGAUAGACUGAAGAGGCGUUUAAUUGAAGAGGGAAUCAGUGAAACUCUUGUAAAUGAUUGCGAACAGAUAAUGCUCUCCGAAUUCUCCGAAAUUCAAGGGCAGCUUCAAGUUCUAUGUGAAGAACGAUAUAAUCUGCUUGACACAAUUAGGCAGUUGGAGGUAAUGUUACCUUUUGAAUCCCUUUCCACAUUGUUAGUAUCUGGUGAUUGAAGGGCGGCCAUUAUCUUUUUGGACAUUGUAUUAUAUAUCCACCAUUAUCAUCUCAGGAAUUCUCUUAUUUGGAGCAUCCCAAGGUCCAGAUACUUCGUCUAACUUUCUACAGGGAUAAUAGAUGGACUAGCAAAAAAUUGCAUAUUCAUUUACACAUCUAACUAAAGCUGAUAUCUGGUGAAAUGAUUUUUUAAGCAGAUUAUGACAUGCAACACAUGUGAAGGAUUGAUCCGUUAAUGGAUUCUGUUAAGGCAUCUUGAUAUAUUUGAUUCUAACAUAGGAAAGGAUUAAGCAUUACUUUUCUCCUCAUUAUAAGUUCACCGUUUUUGGCACAAUGGACAUGUCUUCAAUGUACAAAGUGUCCAGUUAGGAAAUGUUAAAUCAUCAAUUGAUAAAAAACCGAAGCUGAUAAGUUGUGGUUGAUUUAAUUAUAUCAACACUUCCCCUCCCUUUGAAGCUUGAAAAUUUGCAGAAGAUCUACAAAUGAAAAUUAAUAUUAAUUGGGAGGAAAGGAAAUUAUAGGGAUUUGAACACAUGAGAAUGUUAACCAAGUCCAGAAAUUGAUUCUUGGUUUGAGUUCAUAUGAUUUUUUUUGUCUAUCUAGUAUUCAUAUGUUACUCAUGAACGUGAUAGAUUUGAUGAUUAUAUUCAGGCUGCUAGUUUUGAAGGUGAAGCUUCUGGAACAAAUGAUGGCGAAUUCCAACUUGCAAAACAUGAUCUUUCCUCUGAAGAACGUGGAAAAUAUAGUGGUCCUUUCUCUUCUCUUUUCUGCUCUUUAUUUGAUUGAAAUCUUCUUUUACAUGAACCUUCUUUAUUCUUUCUCGUCUCAGUUUGUUGUGUGUGGUUGAUAUAAAGUAAUAAACUACAUGGCAAAGCUAUCAACUAGAUGAAGAUUGCAUUGGUUAAGAUUAAAUUAUAGUAUUCAUUUAUCUUGAAAGUUAUGCUGGUUGAGAUUUAAAAAACUUUCGGAUCUUGAAGAAGAAUAAAAGAACUUCUAGUUUUUCUUCAACCCUCUCCGAUCUCCCUCUCUUACUUUUGGUCCUCUCUUGGUGUAAAGAUGCCCCUCUUUCAAAAAUUUUGUACGAACAUUCUUAGGACCAGCCAGAGGAGUUUUUCUUAACCUUUAUUUUUUUGGGUAUUUCAGCACACAACGGAACUGUUUCUUAUAAGAGAUUUAAACUUUGCUGGUCUGUGUUAGCUCUGUUUUUGUUAAAAUUUUAAAAAAAGGGUUUGAUGUCUGUUGUGAUUUUAAUGUAAGAUGUGAUGUUGAAAAAUUAUGCCAGUUAAGUUGAUAGAUGUUGAGUUUACUUGUAAAUUAUGCAUUGGUGACCGUAAAAGUCUGAAUUGCGUAGUGUUACAAACUUUGUGGUUAUAAACUGAAAUCUUGUUUGAUGUGUUGUUAUGCUUGAAGAGUUGGUACAUUUAUUUACUUGUAUUUGGUUUGUAGAAUGCAGCACCACAGAAUCAGAUGAUAUCGAGAAACAAGAGUUUGAGGAGGUUUCGGACGAAGACGAAGUGUUCUUUUACGAUACCAAGGAUUCUUUCUCUGAAAAUUCUUUCAAUGAUGAAGUUGAUAGCAAUGCUGAGACAAUGCCUGCUAAAAUGCGGUUACAGAAUAAAUAUUCACACAUUCAAAGGCGAAAACAGCUUCCUGAUCCAGUGGAGAAGGAGAAACGAGUCAGCCUUUGGUCAAUGAUCAAAGACAACGUGGGAAAAGAUCUGACAAGAGUAUGCCUCCCUGUUUACUUCAAUGAACCGAUAUCGUCACUGCAGAAAUGCUUUGAAGACAUGGAGUAUUCGUAUCUAUUAGAUCAGGCAUACGAGCAAGGAAAGCAGGUGAGCUUUUACAAGAAGAUACAAGCUUCUUACAUACCUUGCUAUGCAUGGAAAUGAAAUUAGGAUUUGGAAACUUGUAUUAUGGGCAGGGAAAUAGUCUACAGAGGAUUCUCAAUGUUGCAGCAUUUGCGGUUUCGGGGUAUGCUUCGUCCGAAGGCAGGCAUUGCAAACCAUUCAAUCCCCUGUUGGGGGAAACUUAUGAAGCCGAUUUUCCAGAGAAAGGGAUUCGGUUCUUCUCUGAGAAGGUGAGUAAAUGGGAUGAAAAAUUGUACUAGAAUAUGUGAUGAGAUAAUUGUAAAAGUAAUUGGAAAACGAAUGUGUAUUCAUAUAGGUGAGCCACCAUCCAACUCUGAUAGCAUGCCACUGUGAAGGGAGAGGGUGGAAGUUUUGGGGAGAUAGCAACCUUCAGUCCAAAUUCUCAGGAAGGUCAAUUCAGCUGGACCCUCUUGGAGUACUCACACUCGAGUUUGAUGAUGGUGAAAUCUUCCAGUGGAGCAAGGUAUGUGAAUUGAUAACGACCAUAAUUUGUUUUCCUUUUCUUGAGGAUAGUUAUUUACUUGGAAGUUAGCUUUGGAGAAGACGUAGUGCUUCAUCUCAAAUAGAGAAAAUAGAUUACUCACUCAUAACCCCCUCUGGAUUCUUGGACUUUCUUGAUUUCAAAAAAUUAAUAAGAAAAAAAUAAGUUUCUAUUUAUUUUUUUUGGGUCAAGAUGAUCAUUAUUCAGUACACUAUGAUGUCGAAAAUUAAUUUUUGAUAGCUGAUCAGUAUUCAUUACAUUUUAUGAUUUCUUUUAGGUAACAACAAAUAUUUAUAAUCUCAUCCUCGGGAAAGUAUAUUGUGAUCACCAUGGAACGAUGCACAUACGUGGUAAUAGGGACUAUUCUUGCAACCUCAAGUUCAAAGAGCAAUCUUUUCUUGACCGAAAUCCUCGUCAGGUUUGAUCUAGAUCAUUGAUGGGAGUCCUCACCCUUCUCUUCGUUCUAACGAAGAAACUAACCUUCAAUAUAUACUACAUAUGUAUAGGUUCAAGGGUACGUCAAAGACGUUACCGGUGAAAAAGUAGCGACAUUGUUUGGGAAGUGGGACGACAGCAUGUAUUACAUAAAUGGCCAUGAGAACAUAAAUUCAAAGAGUUGUGAUGGCACUUUAUUGUGGAAAAGCAGUGAACCCCCACAGAAUCUGACUCGAUACAACUUGACUUCAUUUGCGAUCACUUUGAAUGAGCUGACACCAGGGCUCAAGGUAUAGACACACAUGAUAUGUGUUGAAAAAAUCAGUCAUUUAGCAUAUAUGAGCAUUUGCCUCUACCAUAUACAUACACCCUUCUUUGUGUAUCUCUAAUUGUUUUGUAUAGCUUUGUCUGAUCCUGGAUAUUUGAUCACGGAUUAAGGAGUUGCUCCCUCCCACGGAUUCUAGACUCCGACCGGAUCAACGACAUCUGGAAAAUGGCCAGUAUGAUAAAGCCAAUGCAGAGAAGCUACGGUUAGAACAGAGGCAAAGAAUUGUAUGUCAAGUUCUUCUUUUGAUCUCUUGGGUUUUUCUUCGUUAUCCACCUCUGCUUUUCUCUUGGUGAUUCAUUGUAGUUCGUCUAUUUCAGUCAAGGAAGUUACAAGAAAAUGGUUGGAAGCCGAGAUGGUUUCAGAGAGAGGGUGAAGAUGGACCCUUUCGAUAUGUCGGAGGAUAUUGGGAAGCAAGGGAAGAGAGUAAAUGGGAUGAUUGCGCAGAUAUAUUUGGGGAGUUGAAUGAGGAGGUUAUGGAGAAUUAGAAGAAUGAUAAUCAGGAUUCAGGUCAGUGUUUUCUUUCUUAAAGUUAAGAACGUCAUAACAAGAUUUCCUUUUGUAAAUAGCAUGGUACAAAAUUGUUAAGGCAGAUAACUAAUAGAUGAAAUACAAAGGAAGAAGGAAAAAGAAAAAGAAAAAAGGACUGCAAUUAACAAAAGUCAUAAACCGGGUUCUAGUAAACAGACCCUUGGUUUACUUUUUCUCGUUCUCAAAUUUUCAACCUGCACACUAACAUUCUCUUAACUUUGAAUUUUCUGGCUCUUUUUGUUUUGAUUUGGAAAAAACAAACUAAAGCAUUUGAUAUCUGCCUUUAAUUUCUUAUUAUUGAAAUGUUAAAUUACACAGGAAUAUCCAAUAAUGAUUCUGUUAUUCAAGUCUAUAAAUCUACCAUACACAUUCAUUUAUAAAGUUUUCCAAGUUUAUUAUUAUAUUUGGAUUAAAUUUUAAGUUUUGUGUUUUAACUUUUGAAGUUUGUCCGAAUUUCAAAAUGUUUAAAAGGGUCCAAAGAGCUCCUAAACUUUAAAUCUAGUAUUCAACAUAUACCUAAAAGUUCAAGAUAACGAUAUAAUUUCUCGUUAGAGGGUAAAAACAAAAUUACAUUGAAGAUAAAAACUCGAGAAAACAAAACCGCUAUUAACCAUAACAUGGGUUGACUUAGUAGUUAUUGGAACUAAAAGUGAGAGAAUUUGGUAUGAAAAAGACAGGUUCAUCCCUAAGAAAUAUACCCAUACAAGACACGGAUGUGACACAUACACAUUGACGCGUCAUAACGAAGAAAGUUCAAAAUUUAUUAUUAUUCUCAUACAUAUAUAUAGUUAGUAUACUAAAAAAGUUAUCAAUGACUCUGUGCAACUAGUUUUUAAUACACCUAUUUUGCACUAACAAAUGUUUGAAAUGUGUCUAAUUAAUAUGUAUAUGACACAAACAACGCUAGCUGAACUAAUGUGUUUAUACUUUUUAGAUUCAAAUUAUGAUGGUUACACAUUUAAAUUUAAAAUCCUUGGAAUUUAUGUACACAUUAUAUACACUUAUACAUAUAUUAAAAAUCCUUGGUUAUCAAAGAGUUGGUUGUGAGAUUAGUCAAAGGCUCUUAAGUUGGAUCAGACAUGAGUACAAAUAAGAAAAUGAAAUAGUUGUUAAACAUGUUUAAAUGUAGGUUUGAUGCAACUUUGCAGAUGUAAGGGAGGAAUGAUAAAUGAGGAUCCUCGAAACCGAUCGAUGGAACAAUGGGGAGUUGUGGCCGAUUGGAAUUGAAGAAGAUUUAUGAUCUACACAACCUCAGGGAAAGUGAUAUAGUGAUAUCUAUCUAUGGCCAUUUUUUGUUGUUGCUUACUUUGAAGGUUUACUAUUUGGGAUUAGGUCAUAGAUAGCUUGACAAGGUGUUGUCGUAAUCUCUUCCAAAUGUAAAGGGGAGAAUAGUUGAUGUAGUAAUAUUGCUUCCUCACUUCUCAUCUGAAUCUUAAUUUUUUCCCCAAAUCCCAAUAAACUAUUGCUUAUUCUUCUUCUAUAUCAUUCAUUUCUUCUGCUUCCAAUUAAAAGUAAUUAAGCAUUGUAAUAUCUAAGGCACCAAGCUCUCUUUGGAAACUAUGGUAUUAUGCAAUGGAAACUAUGGUAUUAUGCAAAACUUCUAAUUUGGCUACCCGUUUGAACAUUCGAUUGAACUUUUUGUACAUUUGUUGGCUCUAAUUUAGACGACACCAUCCUCUUUUUGGAAAGGAGUACAGAGGUUAGAGUCUUUUGCACUUUAGCUAUAUAUAAUUUAGAAAGUCUAAAGCUUUCAUAUUUAACAACUAAUAUACUUUAGAUCAAAAACUCGUUUAAAUAGGUUUUUUUUGGUCCAUCCUGACUAUGAUAAAGACCGACAAAAGUUGUUUUUAAUUUUAUGUCCCCAAUUAUAUAUUUUUAUUGUGUCUUAAUUAUUAUUUAGAUAAGUAUUUUAGAAACCCCAUCUUGGUUGGCUCAACAACGUUUUUUUAGAAGGAAAUAGUAAUUGUAGAUGGAGAUUCUAGAAUGAUGGGCUAAUUCUAUUAAUAUAGAGAUUUGUUACAAAGCAAGAAGGCUAGAGCAAAGCCUAAAAUAGCCUAAUCUAACAACGCUUUAUAAUUAAGAGAAAUUAAGCAAUGGUCAUACUGUUUACAAGUAGUACGUCGGCUAAACCGAACUCCUAUCAUAUUUUCAAGAUCUUCCCAUAAGUUUACAAUAGUUCUAGACUUAUCCUUGAAAAUUCUAUUGCUUCUUUUCAUCCACACAGUUCAUAGAAGAGCUGCUAUUGGGUUGAACUUAUAAUAUUUUUCCUGUUUGUUUCCUUGAAUCUGCCUGAGAACGUGCAUAGAGAGUUGAUGCUGUCUUUAAUAAUGUUUCCUCCAAUAGUUUUCAAAAGCUUGUCCCAAAGAGUUGUAGUGACUCUCCAAUCCAAGAGGAGGUGGUUAAUGUCCUCAUUGUUGGAGUAGCAAAGGACACAUCUGCUUGGGCUUAGACAUGAGGUUAGGUUAAUGUCCUCAUUUGUUGUCCCAGGAAAGCUGGCUCAACAACUAAUUUAGGCUCUCAAAAUAUCCUCUCUUUACACAUUUUUUAUAUUUCAUUCAACACAUUUUUUACCCACACAAAAAAAGAAGUAUUUAUCUCAAAUCUUGCCUUCACUAAAGAUGUUUGGUUUUUGACAUGCAUCCUCUUGGCUGUCGUUUAUGUAGCUUCAACCUAAACACACAUAAAUCUCAACCAAGAUUCAUGCAUAUUGCCCCUAUAUGGCUUAAAAGAAUUAAAUAUUGAGAGACAUUAUUCUCGUUGAAUUCUAAUAGUUUUAUGUAACUUUUUGUACAUUUAAUUUGUUUGCUUUUAUUCAACAUAACUUAGCACAUUUGUUUGGUUCAGUGGCAAAUGGAGGAAGAAUGAGAAAGAACAUGUAGAGGCAAUUGAAAGGUUUAAUUGUAGAUGUUGUAAUAAAGUAGGAGGAUUUUUCUGGCCAACUAUAUAGAAGAAGUGGAGUAACUUAUACUAAGUUUGAGUUAGGAAUAAGAUGUUUGUUUGAAUGUCUCUCCUUUUGUGAUUAGUAAUAAGUAAGACCUAAUUGGUUAUACCUAUGUCUUAGAUGACACUUUUAAGGUCUAAGUUAUCAAUGGUAGUGUAGAGCACUCAGAGUAUGAUACCUUCCUUUUCCAAUCCCAAUGGCCUUGAAUGCAUACCAUCAUUUUCCUUCCAUUUUAUUUUAAUUAAUUCAUGAAUGCCAUAUUAGUCUGAGUGACCUUCCUUGAGUCCUUUAUAUGACAAUGUGGUCCUACUUGAAUUGGGUGAAGAUGCAUAUAUAUGAGUUGUUUUAUAGUAUAGAGUCAAAUCUUUGAUGGAAACAUGUUAAGAGAUUUGGACGAUGGUGUUAACAUGGAGAAUGUAAAUAUUAAGGUAGAUAUUAAUGUCAAUCAUGGUUACUCACUCAUCGAUCAACAUUUGAUGACCACAAAGAUAAAAUCCACAUUCAAUAACCAUAGUGAUAGAGAAUUAUGAAAAGAGAGUAACCCGGCAAUUAACUAACAAUGAAACUUGUGUUGAUUCUAAUACAAGUGAUGAUCUAGUCACCAAUUGUAGGAAGAGAAAACGCGGGUCACAAGAACCGAUCAAUGGUCUAUUUGGGCUUUGGAAAGAUUAUGGUUUGGCCAAAAGCCCAAAUCUAACCUCCCCGUCCUUAGCUUCGGCCAAUUAUAGGGUAAGAUAAAGUCGAAGUCGACCUUCUCCAUUCGACGAAUGAAACUUUCUUUAAGCUAUUUUGGGCCUUCAAAAGAUGACGGUUGGGGUUAGUUCAAUCCGACCUCCUCAACCUAUCACUGGCCAAAUCUGAGUCUCAAAAUUUAAUGAACAACACAUGUCAAAUUCACACUCUAACUCAUUUAGUUUGGAAUAUAACCUAUUUUAUCUAGGUUUUGAAAAAUGAUCAUAUUCUAAUCCAAUCCUCGUCCGACUAAGAUAAAUCCUACAUCAAAUUCCAUAAAAAAAUAAUACAUCAUUAUGGUUUCCAUACAUGAGGCAAAGAUUUUUUUUUUUUUUUUAAUUCUCUUCACACCAUAGUUUUUUUAUAUUUGUUUCGUUGGUUUUCUCUUUUCUAAAUUACAAAUUAGGGUGCUUGUAAAAAUGCAAAAAAAAUUAUGAUAAUAGAGUCCAUGUUAUUACAUUUUCUAAAUUACAAAAGUAGCAAAAUUAAAAGCAGUUAUCCUUUUAAUAGACGUAUGAUAUCAUUAACUACUUGUCAUGCACUAUAUUCGCAAGACAAAAAAAAAAAAGGUGUUAUGCACUGUUUUUUUUCUAAAUCUUUUUUUUAUUUGAUGUAAUUUUUCUUACAAAAUUUUUCAUAGCUGUCACACAAAAAUCAAGUACGUUUUUCCUCCAUCAAAAGCAUCCAUUGUUGUAUUAAAAAAAUAAUAAUAAAGAGAGUUAAAUCUUGAAAUUUGUGAAACCAUAAACCAUUGUUUAUAAAAAUUGGAAUUAAAGAGAUGAAACAAACACAUAGAAGAUUCCAUUCACAAUCUGUAGUGUUCCCUGUCAUUGCUACAAAUAAUAAGAUAUCCUAUGCAUUAUUUAUGUGCCAUUCAUUCUUUCUCUUUAAAAUUCAAAUCAUCAUCCAAAAUUAUAUAUGUGUUUAUUGGUCUGGUCUGUCCAUUAAUGUAAUGUAAGAUAGAGGUAAUUUGAUUUCAACUUUGCUUCAGAUUGGGACACACAACAGCAUGGGAUUCACAAGAUUCCAAAAACAAAUUAAAUAUUAUCAUUAGUUAAUUGCUUAAUUUUCAAAAAAAAAUUAUACUUAAAUAAUUAUUAAUCAUAUCAUCUAAAUUAUUAUUGCACUCAACCUUAAUUAUAAGACAAGUUUAUAUAACUAAAAAAUAACUCAUCAUAAAAUUAAACCAAAUGUUUAUAGUAUUCUUCUAAAAAGAAAAAAAAGAAUGGGAAGUUUAAACUUUUGUUUAUUUGAUUUUGACUUUUAAUUUUCUAAAAUUAAUCCUAUGAAUACUAUUUUUAAAAUUUAGAAAUAUUUUUUUAACGUUUUCAAAGAAAAAAAAGUUAGCCAAUUAAAAUUUAAUCAAAUGCUACCUAAAAAGUAUAAAGAUUAUCUAACCAUGAGUUUGCUCUAAUGACUUUUAAAGAUCACCCAUUUAGUAAUAAUUUAAAACUUAGAAAAUAGGCUUAAUGGUCAUUUAAGAUGUAAUAUCUUAAACCGACACAUUUUUUAAUAUAACUAAAUAUAUUAAAAUAUUUAUAAAAUAUAAUAAAAUGUCAAAUUCUAUCGAUAAUCAAGCACUAAUAAUAGAUAAACAAACAGAAAAAAAGAAACCUAAUAGUAUAAGUUUAGUUUUAUUAACAAUUUCAAAAAAAGAAUAUAUAUAUUAUAUAUAUAAUAUAUAUAUAUUUUUUUGUUUUAAAACUUGAAAUGCCAAUCCCCAUUUUUAUAAUUUUUUGCUCAAAUUUUCAAUUUUGUUCAUGAAUAAUUUAAUUGAUUGAGGGCUAACUGGGUAAGGAUGUAUACCAAUUUCAAAUCUCAAUACAAAAUUUCAAACAAAAAUAACAACAAAUAAAAUAAAAAAUAUAUAUAUAUAUAUAUAUAUAUGAAUCUGCCCCUUCUCAAGAGGUGCAUUAAAAUAGGUAACCCUAGGCAACCAAAGCAGAUACUUCUUCCCUGGUUGAAGAUUCUAUCAAAAAUUAAUAUAUCCUUAGUUAUUAUUAUGAGAUAACUAUAUUAAAUAUUAUUGUUAUAAUUAUUUAUAUAUGGUUAGAUAAUUUGAGAGGCAAAGAGAAUGAGAUCCACAUUAUAAGGAAUUGCAAAUAACUCUCUCUUUCUCCAAAGAAUCUCACUUGAUUCAUGUGGAUCUUCCAAUUUUGAUCUUUUCCAUUUCUACUCAUUUCUAUGUACAUUAUAAUAUUAGAGAAUUGCUUUCUUUGUUGAUUUCCGAAGGAUAUUCACAUGGCCUCUCAUUAUUUCGUAUGUCUAUUCAUUUCAUCUUCAAACUCAUAAUAUAUGUUUUCACAACUAUAAUAAUGUACACGUUUUUCCUUGGAAAUGAGUUCGAUUAUCUCCCUCUUUUGUAUUUAAUUUUAAGCUUGGUCUAUGAAUCUUUCCAGUGGAAUCUAAUCAAUGAAGUUUAAAAAUAAUCUGAUUAAUUAACUUCAGUAGAACUACGAGUUUAUGGUUAGUUUAAAUAAAAAUAAGUCAUUUUAAAAAAAAAAAUGGUUAAUAUUUGGUAAUGAUUCAAAAUAACUUUUUGAAACAUUUUUAAAUUGAUAAAUUUAAUAAAAAAUAUAAAUAAAAAUGAUUUUUUUUUUUAAAAAAAUAUUUUUUCUCUAACCAAUUCAAAUUUGCAUUAGCUUAUAUGUUUUAAAAAGAUAUCAUAAUAUUUGGUUUUUAACUUUAUGUAUAACAAAGUAAAGUUAACUUUCUAAAUUUUGAUUUCAUGUUCGAACUUAGGAAAUGAUUUAGCUUUCCAAAAAAACCAUACAAGCCAAUGCCCCGAAAACCUAAGGGUUCCUCCGCAAGGUUCGUCCAAGCACUUAAAUGAAUGGAUUGUUUACUAAUGUAACACAAUGAACAAAAACAUUUAUACACAUGAAAAAUAAUAUCAAUGAUAGAUGUUGAUAAACAUUGGUAAAUAUUACUACUAUCAACCUUUAAUUAAUAGUUGCCGAUAGAUAUUGAUAGACUGAAAUUCUAAAAUUUUGCUAUAAUUUUAAAUAUUUUGAACAAUUUUGUUAAUUAAAUUUUUUUUUCAAAAUAAGUACAUAGUCACUCUAAUAUGUAAUAUAAACAUAAAACUAAUAGAGUUGUUUUCCUUUCAAAGAAAAAAAAGAGAGGAAAAACUAACUGAGGAAAACUUAAUAUAAUAUAUGCAUAGAUACACCACUUUAAAACUUAUAUUUUUUAAAUUUUUAAAAAAGAAAACAAUUAAAAUUAAAGGAUUUAUUUUAAAAAAUAAAUAGAAAUAACUUACAAACUAUUAAAUACUUGUCAAGAUGUUAUAUAUUUCUUUUUACAAUUUUCCAAAUAUUAUUAAAGCACUUAUCAAAAUAACUAAAUAUUUUAAUUUGUUAUUUUUUCAACGAAAUAAUACAUAUUACUUAAAAAUUUCAAAAUAUAAAACAAUGACCGUAACAUAAUUAACUUUAAAAGGUGGAAUGGAAUACAAUAUGUAUUUUAAUUAUAAACAAAGUUAGAAUUAGAAUCUAGAUAGAAGGUUGUUAAUUACGAUAAAUGAUUAAAUUUGCUAUAUUCGCCAAUUUAAGUUUUUGGAUCAAUUGAUGAGGUAAAACGAUACUAGAACAAGUUAUCUAGAAAAGUUUCUUUUUUUUUUUCAUUUAAUACAUAUCCAAAUUGGUGAGUCAAAGAAAGGUAAUAGAAAGUAACACCCAAAUAUUUUUGUAUUAUAUUAGAGAGAACUUCCAAAAGCGAUUCUCACUUUUUUCCUUUGGCUUGUUGGUACAUCAAAAUCAAAACUUUACAUAUAUGAACUUUACACAUUAUUAAAAAGCAAAGGGUACCACCCCAUUCAAAAGGGCUUCUAAAACUUGUAUGCUUAAAACAAAAAAUCCACACACAAAUUAAACAAAGUGAGAAAAAAGUGACAAUAUUUAUAUCAUGUGUGCAUGGGGAUUUUCAAUGGACAGUUGGUCCACAGUCCUCCAAUUCAAUCCCUUCAUCAGCCAACCUCUUUUCCUUGUACACGUACCACUUAGCACAAACCAAAAACACCAUCAAAUUCAACACACUUAAUAUUGCCAAUAGCCAAUAGAAAUCGUAAAGCUUCCCUUCAUUGAGAUUGUCUGGUAUCCAUGGCCUCCCAUGUUCAGUCACUUUCCCCACAAUUGUAACUAGCAAUGAGCUAAAGAAAAACCCUAAAGCAAGUGUGCUUAAAAACAACCCUGUGCUCAUUGUCUUCAUCCCUUUAGGGCAUUCUCUUAAGAAGAAAUCCAGUUGUCCCAUGUACGUAAACGCCUCGCCUGCAUGGCCAAAACAAUUAUUUUACAUUCUAACUUUUUAUAUAUGUUUUUUCUUAAUAAUUUACAAUGAAUUUAAAGAGGAUGAGAAUUUGUUUUUUUACCUGAUCCUACUAAUAAAAACUGCGGGGCCAACCAAAACACGCUCAAUGGCACCUCUGCAGUUGGCUUGUAUGUCAACCCAUUUUCUUCUACCACCUUCAAGCGUUUUAUUUCGGUUAGUGCCGCAGCGACCAUGGCUAUUAUCGAUAGAACCAAACCGACCCCCACACGUUGGAGUGGGCUUAGGCCUUGUGGGUUCUUCAAAAUUCUUGAUGCUAUUGGGAUGAUGAAACGGUCGUAGAUCGGGACUGUUAAGAGAAUGCUGGCCACGAAGAAGACAGUGAGGGAGGCAGCCGGAAUUUCGAAGGAUUUUCCCAUGUGUCGGUUCAUUGUGGUGGCUUGUGACACAGAGAAUGUUGUCAUUUGGGCAUAGACUGUCCAAAAAAUAAUGGUGGUUGCCCAAAUGGGUAGCAUUCUAAGCACUAAUUUUACUUCCUCAAUGUCUGUUAGGGUUGAUAUUUUCCACUUGUUUACUACAUUGCCAACUACUUCUUCAUCCUUGAUUGCAGCCUUGUCCAAAAAUCUAUACCAAAAACCAAAAUACACUGUAUCACUUAACAAAAAAUCUAUCGACAAUAGAGUUCAUCACUUAUAAAUUAUAUUUGCAAUAGGUUAGAAAUCCUAAAAGUAUUAAAGGCUCAAUGUAAUUAUCGAAUAGUAGAAGUUAAUUUCUCAUUAUUAUAUAUAGAAGGUGAUCGUGUGCUUGGAAUUUCACUAAUCUUAUCCAAAAUUGACUAAAUGAUUAUUAGAACUUGAACUAAAGUUCGAUUUUUUUAAAAAUGAGAGCCAAAAGACAUAUAAAGAAGUGCUGAAAGAACCUAAAUUAAAUAUUAUGGAAGAGUUCAAAGCACAAGAUUUAGUAUUAAUAAGUAGUAAUUAAAAGUUAAUGGUUUUUUUUUUCUUGGAAAAAGAAAGCUAGAGAUAGCUCGACAAGCAAUGUGAGAAUAUAAAUAUUGGAGAUAAAGGCCAUUUGAUUUAUUUAGAUUGUUUUUCACACAACUUGUAGAACCAAUCAAUUGAGUUUUGUAUAUGAAAUAUUAUACAUAUGAAUAUUCAUAAAAUAGAAUAAUAAUAAAAGAGAUAAAAAUUGUCGGCUAGGAUGUUUAAAUAAGAGUUGGGUGAUUGUGUCCUAACUUUUAUAAUGAUUUAAUAAUGAAUAAAAUUGUUCCAAUUUCUUGUCUAUAAAUUGAAAAAAACAAAUAUAAUAAUCUUCAAUUAUGGCUAACUUCCAAGUGUAGAAAAUGUUUUUUGUCUUAAGCUUGGUCUUCUUCCCUGUUGUAUUAGGAUCUAAUUUCAUUUUUUUUAAAGAAAAUAUAUAUAUUAAAAAGCAUAUAAUUGAUGACCAAAAGUAGAAUUUGGGAUUGGUUUUUCUUGGCCUAUGUGGUAGGAAUACGUAUUGGAAAUGGCCACAACUAUGUAAUAAUUCACAUAUUUAAUCAUUUUAGAAGUGAAUGAUUUAACUAUUUUAUCAUAUCCUUACCGACUAUAUAUAUCCUAAUAUAUUAUUAAGAGAAAGAAUCAAACCUUUGACUUUCAAGUUUAUAAUAUAUAUGUAUAUGUUUGUUGAACUAUGUUUGACACUUCAUAUCGAGUGAACUCGUAGAAAUAUAUAAAGUUUCAAUUUUUAGAAAAGGGUGUUAUUCAAUGUUGUUUUUUUAAUAUUAAUUUUCUAUAUUGAAAAUUAAUUAAAAAAUAUUAUCAUUUUAAUUUUUAAUUCUUGAUUGAAUUGUGUUUGAAAAAUGAAAAUAAUUCAACUAAUUAAAUGACGAGUGGCACAAACCUAAAUUGUUUAGUUCGAGGUAGCUUCUGCUUCUUCUUUCCAGAUCCAUCAACAGCAUCUUCAAUUUGGUACAAGGAAAAUGGAUCAGAGGGCAAAUCCAACUUUCUCUUUCUCCAUGCAGCGUAAAACACGGCGACGAUUUGCGUCAAUGGGCUACCGACCAAUUUCUUGAACCGGUAUUUACGAGUACCCAACAAGAAGGCAACCAGUCCCAACACAAUGGCACAGGCACAUAUUCCAUAUCCCCACUGCCUGCCCCAAUUGUCUUGAAUGUAAACUAGGAUUGUCACAGCUCCAAGUGACCCAAUGCUAAUGAUGAAGAAGAACCAAUUGAAGAACUUGGACAUCUUCGCUCUCUCCUCUUUGUCCGAGUCAUCAAAUUGAUCGGAACCAAAGCCCGAAACGCUCGACUUGAGGCCGCCAGUGCCAAGCGCGGUCAAGUAUAGAGCUGUGUGGAGAACUGCCAGCUGCUUGCUGUCUGCCAUAAUGCAUGGAGUGGUUGAAACUCCCGGUGAACAUUUUGGCGGUCGGAGACUUGGAAUUAUGGUGGAGAUUGUUAAGAUAGUUACACCCUAAUUAAUAAAAAAAAGUUAGAAAAAAUUAAAAUAUGUUUACCACUUAAACCUAAAAAUCUUAAAAAAUAACACUUUAAUCGUCUAAUCGAUCCAAUAAAAGUAGUAUAAUCUUACAGCUGCUUGAACCGUUGCAAAAAUCGAAAUCGUCAGAUACCUUUCACAAGAAAAAAGGAACCAAUCAGAAUAAUCAUCCAAGUAAUUUUUACCUCAAAAAAUAAAAGGUAAAAAAGAAAAAAGAAAAAGGAAACCCUAAAGUCAAAAGUCCAAAUUUUUGUUUAAAUUUAUAUUAAUUAUCUAGUUUUUAGUUUUUGAAAAUAAAUGGAUAAUUACUUCUGCUUCUCCACUUGUUGCUAACUUUUCAAAACUAAAAAAUAGUUUUAAAUUUUCUUUUUUUGAAAUUUAACUUAAAAAAAGAAAAAAAGUUACAAAAUAUUAAGACACGUUGACCAACUUUGAAAUCUUACCUCUACAUCUUUUCUAACUAAAAAAGGAAAAAUUUCACUAAAAUUAGUAUAGCGAUUGAAAAUCCAUACCCUAUUUUAAAUUUUUUAAUAAAAUAAAAAUACAAUAUAUUUGUUUUCAAAGCAUAAGACGAAAUAUACAAUUCAAAUGAAAAAGAAAGAAAAAUGUUAAUAGUGUUAUUACCGGCCGAGAAAAGUGUCGGCGACGAAACCACCAAACAGACACAGCAUAAAGGAGGUUCCGAGGAAGUUGGUGACAUUGUUGGCUGCAGUAGCAUUUCCCAGAUGCAUUGUUUCCGUCAAAUACGUCACCAAAUUCACUGCAAUCCCGAGCGUCGUAAGCCUCUCCACCGCUUCAGGUCCUGUACACAGUAAUUGUAUUCCCCUUUUUCAAACUACUGAACUCAAAAUCUUAAGUUCGAUACGUUAAAAAAGAAAAAACAAAACAGAACAUUGACCUAAAAUCAUGGCCGCAGCGACCCAGCCACCGGUUUUGGCCUUGAUGGCGGGUUUUCCGGUGUAGUCCCAAGCAUCUGGGAGAGUUUUUUCUUGAAUUGUUUCUGGGAGAACACUACUCAUGGUGAAGCUUAUGAGCUCAAGAAAUGAAAAUAAGAAGAAAUUGAUAUGGAUUAUGUAUGUGGCGCAGUGGAUGAAGAUUCUACGAGGACUUUGGAGGGUUUUAUAGUGAGAACUUCAAACGCUGACGUUUUAAUUUGGAAAUAUUCUAUUCUUAUUCUAUUGGUUGUUAUUAUAUAUAUUUAUAUGAAUAUUUUCAUUGUGUUUGAAGUUUUCAAAAUUUUCAAAAUUUGUAUUGGUUUUUGUGUUUAAUUAAUGAUAAUUUUGAGGUUUUUGUGUGGGGUUUAUACUUUAUAUGGGUUGUUUAUUCCAAUGAAACAAAAGAGAAUUAUGAUAGACAACUUAGCUUGUGAUUUAUGGGUUUUGGUAAACAAUGCGGUUUUGUUUGAGUGUAUUAAUUUAAAUAAAAAAUUUAGGGUUAAAUUAGAAUCGGUGUUUUACUUUUAUUGAGUUUCUAACUCUUAGUUUUAGUUAAAUUCAUGACUCCAAAAGUUUGUUUAUAUGACAUUUUUUUCCUUCUAAAAGAUUCAAACCUUUUGAGAGGUUCAAGAAUUAUAAAAUGGAGAACUUUAUUUAAGUAUACAUUUAAAUAUAUCACUACAAAAAAAUUAAACCUUUGGUAGAGAACCAAAAAAUAAAGCACGGAUGUAUAAUGUCAGACGAGGCGAAAAAAAUAUAUUAAAAAUAUGAUGACAUGCCUUAUCGGUUCAUUAUCUUCAUGUCAACUCAAUUAAAAAUUUUAAAAUAUAAUUUUAACAAUCCAGAAUUAGGUCAUUUUUCAAAAUGCAUAAAAAUACCUAUUUUUAUGAAUAGAGAUGAGACCCCACGGGACAUGUCCUUAAUGAGGCAAAAAAAUCGUUAUUUAGGUGAAGAAUAAGAGAGAAUGAGAGGUAAACUCUCUCAGACUAAAGAUAGAGACGAGGACAAAGAAUACCACAUUCUCCAUCUUCCGUACCACAUUUCUUUAAACGCUCAAGUAUUGAUGAUAUUGUAUGAAUAAUUUGAUAGGUUUGGACCAAUUCAAUAUGUUACGUACAAAUAGCUAAGAAACGUACUAUGAUAUUUUAUUUGAUUUAAGAGGAUUUAAAAUUUUUCAUCAGAAAUAUUCACAAAGAAAUAAACAAGCUCAAUUCACAUUAUGAAAUAAACGCUCAAUUGACAUUAUGUUUCCAAGAACAAAAACAUGUAAGAUUCAAAUCACCGUGAAUUAUACAUAAAAAUUUGAAAUGAAUCAAUUGAGAAAUAGAUAAUUAACUAUUUAAUUAAAAAAAGAUACAAAAAUGAUUUAUAGAUAUUUUUUCUAAAAUUAAUUGGAUAAUAAUUUCCUACCAAGAGAAAAUUUUACUACGAUAAACAAUGCAAUAGACGAUGUGAACAGAAACAUCGAAGCCAUCUCUAACCCUCCUAAACAAAUAGUGAAAUAGAUUACAAAAUUGAUACAGAAAAAAUAUGCUUUUAUAAGAUCACCAUUUACCAACCGUAUGGACUCAUUCUUUGAGUAAAACUAAUGACAAUUUAAAUUUUCUAGCAGUAAUAAUUUGGGUGAGAGAGUACUUUAGCAUCUUUGAACUCUUUGACAGUAACAAAUUGUUGAUAUAUAUAUAUAAAAGAUAACUAUGAUGGAUAACAAUUUUAGGAAUAUAAAUGAAGUGUACAAUAAUACUUGUGUUAAAGUUUAUUAAUAAUAUAUAUUUAUCGUUGAUAGAUUUGUAUAAUUUAUCUUUGAUAGAUCAUUGAUAGACCACUGAUGAUAUGACCUAUCAACGAUAAAAGACUAUAAUUGAUAAACUUUGCUACAUGUACAUACUUUGAUUUGAUUUAUUUGCAACUCACGGUAUAUAUUAGUGCUUGUUUGAGAUAAAAAGUUCACGAAAAAUAUCUUUAGAGUUAUUAUUCUUAUUUUUCACUCGUCAAAAUGUGGGAGAAAUAAAAAUGUCCUUUUAGGUAUUCAACCUAAUCUAAAGAUUUAAAGUUCUUAACUUUGUAAGGAAGAUAGUAAAUUAAGUCACAUGCUUACGUCGAUGACAAAAUAAAAAUAAGAUUAUCGAAAAUAAAUAUACUAAAAUAUUAUUUUGAUUUAAUAUUUAGAGUUUGUUUUAUUUUAGUUUCAAUCAUCAACUUAGAUCAAAACCAAAUGUUAACGAGAUCUUUAAUUAAUUUCUUUUAAUCCACAAAAAAAAAAAAAAAUGAAAAAAUUGCCACCACGGUAUUAAACCAUUGUAGUAAACUAAAUUUAACAUUAUAUAAAAUUUGUUUAAGAGUUCCAUUCACACCACUUGUAAGUAUUUGUGGAGGUAAUAAAAUUAUAAAAGUCCAAAUUAAAUAUACGAUCUCAUGAUUUGAUACCACGCUAAAUAGUUAUCAGCGGUGUGAGAUACCAUCUUGAGAAUUUCACGACCACUGUUAUGUCAAUCCCUAUAUCUUUUCAAUUAUACAUUAUUUAAUUUAUAUAAAAAUUAAGCUAAAAUUGUAUCAUAUACACAAUAUUUAAUUUAAUUUUUAAUUUUGGUAUCGGUUAACUUGGAAGAGUCUAAAUAGUAAAUUGGAAGUGGAUGAGGUUCUACAAAUAGAAAAUAAAAAACCGGCCGAGACGACAUAUCGACCUCACUGCUCAUCUUUCUCUUUCUCUUCCUUAAUGCAAAGGGAACGACACGUAUUUUGACUCAGUGAGUUAGGUCGGCUAAAAUUAUUAUUAUUAUAUAUUAAUUAAUAAUACACUACUACUACUUAUGAUUAUUAUUUAUAAGAAAAUGAAAAACAAUUAAUAGAUUUCCAAUAAUUUGAAAACUAAGUUGACUUUGGGGUAUAUGCACAUAUCCGCCAUUGUGUUAGUUGUUGAUCCAUUGAAAUCAUAAUAUUACAUGUGAGAGAGUGGAAUUAUUCUAAACCUACAAUUCUUUCUUAAAAAUAAACUAACAUCGUAAUCACUUAAGAAUUCUUUUUUCCUUUUUCUCAAAAUUUUUAACUCAACUUGUGCACCAUAUAAUACCAAAAAAUCUAUUGCUUUGGUGACCCAUAUCACGAAAUAUAUGUCUAGAGAAAAGAAAAAGAAAAGGAAAUAUAUUACAUUCAAAAACGUUAACCUAAUAAAUUACAAAUUUCAUGUUAGUUGAUCAUAUUGGUUAUUUUAAUUCAAUUGGUACUUUUUUAUUAAACACAUCACUAAAGAUUAAAAAUAACAAAACUUAUCAAAUAAACAAAAAAACGAUUAUUGAGUAUACAUUGUCAUAGAUUUUAAUGGAUAAGAUACUAAUACUUAAAUAAAAAAUGAUAUAAUAAAUAGAUGAAAUAUUUAAUUUUAUUAGGUCCUUAAAAAUAAGUUUUGAUGAAUAGAAGAAGUAAAUUUAAAAUCAAAAUUUAUAAAUAGAGAAUGAGAAGUAAAUUUAAUAAUAGGGAGAAUUGAAAUAAGAUAUAUAUACUUUGUGGGUAGGGGUUCAUUUGCACUCUUCACUAGGAACUUUAUUUUGCCUCUUCUUGUGUUCUCAAUUUGAGUUUACUUAUUAACACGUUUCUUCUUAUUGACUAAAAAGCAAAUUUUUAAUUGAUUAUAUAUAAAGUCCAAGUCUUUAAAUUAUAAAUUUAUUUAAUUGAAGUUAUGGUUGAAAUGUCCAUCAUUAUUCAAAAGAAAAAGAGCAUGCCAUUUAGGUUUCACAUCUAAUUUUGUGGGUUAAAAUUAUAAUAUUUAGUCCAAAUGAAAUUAAUCCAAUUCAUAUAUAAAUUUGAAGUUAAAAGUUGGAUUCUUCUUUCUUUAUAUGUACGUAUUGUAAAAAAAUAAAUUCCAAAAGUAAAUAACUACAUCUUUUGUGUUUAAGUCAUCAAAUCAAAUAUAUAAAAUAUAGUCUAGUUAAAUUAGGGUGAUGUUAACGUAUCUUUUUCCAUGUGGAGAUGUUUUGGUGCAUCUACUGAACCGUCGUAUCUUUUUCAAAAAAAGAAAAGAAUUAAGGUUAUGUCAUUAAGAAUUAUGGUAGAUUUAUCUGGAGUUAGUAUGCAUACUGAGACAUCUCAACUAGGUUGACAUUUCUUUAGCAGUACUCUUGUCAUACCUCAAAAUCAAAGAUUUGCGUUAUUUAAGUAUGGUUAACUUAAGCUUUUAUAUAUACUUUGAUCACAAUGUGUGGGGCAUUGGACUUAUCUCUAACCCUUUUUGUUUUCCCUUGCUUCAUGUACUCUUUUUUUUUUUUAUAUUAAUGAAGCGGGGAUGAUGACGGCGUGCUACAGGGGUGUCCACCAAGUGAGAUGCUCGGGUGUACCUACUGACCCAACCAUAUAUUUUUCAAAAAAAAAAAAAAAACUUAAACUUUUAUAUAUAUACUUUGAUCACAAUGUGUGGGAUGGAAGAUAGAUCAUUUGCUCUCAAAGUUGAUAGUAUAUACUCGAUAUCAGUUCAACAAUUCUCAUUUUGUCUAAGCUUUAUUAUAUAUUAAUAGUAAUCAUUUUAUUUUUACUAAAGUCUAUAUGAAAGUUAGAAAAUGUACCAUGUCUGAUUACCAAUAAACUUCCGAUUUUAAAGAGUUACGUUAGAAUGUAUAUUUACUUUCACUUUCAACAAUUUUAUGCGGUAAACACGAGAAAUAAAUAUAGAGAAUCACUUUCAACAAUAAAAAAACUACCAAUACAAUAAGAGUGCGUUUGAAUUAUCUAUGAAAUAAAAUGUUUUUCAUAAAACUUAUAUAUUUGGUUAGAUAUUUUAUAUACAUAAUUUUCUAAAAUUUUAGUUUUGAGUGUUUUCGUUUAAAUAAAUUAAUUUUUCAAUAUCAUUUUUAAAAAAUUCAUUUUGAAAAAGCUACCAAACACUUCAAAAAUUUUAACAUUUUCAAAUACCCACUCUAAAUAUAUAAAAUAUCUAAAUGUAUAUGCAAGUCUUCCCUAUGAAAAUAGGUCACUUUUUUUUAUGCAAAUUUCUUGCAAACCACAAAUAUGGUCCACAUAGAAAAAUGGAGAAAAAAACCAAAUAAAUUUCUAAACUAACAAUACAUAUAUAUGUAUGUAUAUAUUACCCUCUUUAGGUUACAAAAACAACAUCUUACCUAAUUUGAUCCCAAAUACUCUUAAUUAUCAUCUUGUUUAAGUUUACACAUUAAGAUUGUUGGGUUUGUAAAACCUAAUCCUUCCAAGAAAAAAAAGUUGAAAAAAAGACAAUAAAAUAAAAAUAAACUUUGGAAGCAUAUUCUAAUGUCUAAAACAUUGACAUCAUCGUUUUUCUAUACGCAUGUAAUUUCUAAAAGCAUUUGACAUCAUCGUUGAAAACAACCUCUCUAACACUUUUAUUUUCUCUCAUAGUUUUUCAUUAAAAAAAAUUAAACAGAAAGAAACAACAACCUUGAACAUUAAACUAAACAUCAAACUUAAGGAAAAAAAGGGUCCAUGUGAAAAAAAAGAAGAAUUUCCUUGGUAAUCUUUCAUGUCCUCCAAGAGCCACAAACCAAAAAAUUAUAAAAAGAAAAAGAGAAGGAUGAUUUAAAAAAGUCAAAGAUUGACCACCUCCAAACCAAUGGGCUCCAUUUGAUUUGGCCCUAAGAGACCACUUUUCUCAUAAUAGAAGAGAUGCAUUUUUUGAUAAAUUAAAAAAUAAAUUAAAUAAUAAGAGCUAAGGAAGCUCAUGGAGAGAAGAUUGCCACUUGUGUUUAUGAUAGUUGCCUAUUGGCUGGGAUUCUAAUUAAUUUAUUGGUGUGACACUAAUUUGAAAUUAUGAUAGCCACACACAUUCAAAAAAAAAUUCUAUUAUUUAGCAUGCACAUAUGAAAUGGGUGGCAAGUAUACUUUGUCAAAGAGAGGUGAUGAUAAGCUAUGGGUGAUCAACCUAAGAAAAACCAUUGUAUUUUAUCAUAUAUAUAUAUAUAUUUGUAUGUGGAUACCUUAUAAAAGACGUAGAAGGAAAAACAUUCGUUAUAUGAUAAAGGGUCGAUUUAGGGAGAGUUUAUAUACGACCCUUUUCAUAAACUUUACUAAAAUAAUAGUACACAACCUAACUUUUUUAACAACAUACCAAAGAUAAUAGAAUCAUAAACACAUAGAGGCAUGUCAACUAGAUUGACACACCUUAAGCAUCUUUAUCAUACUCUCCAUCUAAAAGCUAAGCAUUUCAUUUAUUAAGAUUGAAAGAAAGUAUAAAAGAAAGAACGAGAAAUAAAAGCUUAAAUCGAUAACAUGAAUAGCAAAUUAAAGAACCAAUUAGCUGGUGAUUAAAUGUUGAAUCUGUUGUAACUUUGAUAAUUUAGAGGAACAGUGGUAAGAUUUGCUUAAAAGCCACUUACAAACAUUUUGGAAGGUCACAUGAUGCUUUAGUCUUUUUUUAUUUUAUGAAAAGUUUCAAUAUGGUUUUUUUUUUUAUUAUACUUAUAAUAUCCAAUUUCAAUUUCAAUUUCAUUCCUUUUUCUUUGUUUUAUAUUAUUUCAUUGCUAUGACAUGACGUUAAUGUAAAUAGUAUUAUCAGAGCAUCCCUAGUAUAUAUAUAUAUAUAUAUCAUAAAUAAUAUUUUAAAAAACGUGAUCGAAAGUCAAAAUAACACUAAAUUAAUAAAACUUUGUAGAAGAAGAAACUACUUAUUAAUUAGGGACAAAUUUAGAAUAAUGAACGAAAGUAGAGAUGGGGUUAUAGUGUAAUAUAUUCAAUUCAAGUGGAAAAAGAAGGAGAUUCUAAAUUAAAAAAUAGCAAUGAUUGAAGAUGAACAAGUGCAUUAAAUUCAUAAAUAAUUGAGUUUCAUAAGGAGAGAGAGGAGUUUAUAGAUGGAGGGAUAAGGAGUGAUGCCUAUACAUGAUUAAUGAAGGUGUGCUGGAAAUUAGGGCAAGUCAAAUAGAGGUGGAUAAGGGUUAGGGUUACCUAAGUUUUUAUUUAAUUGUAUUUAUCAAUUUUAAAUAAAGAGCUAGCUAAUACAAAACAUGUAUUGUAGGACAACCAAAUUUUUUUCAGGGCAAUGCUGAGUAAGAGAGAGACUGUGGUAAUGUGUGAUGUAGUUGGAGAGAUCAAUAUUUAUACCUUGAUUGAACUUAUUCUCGCUUUGGCUAUUAGAUUAAAGUUUUUAAUUACUACUCACAAACUACUGUAAAAGGGAUCUCUUGUUAGUAGCAUAUAUAGUUCAAUUUGACCAUAAAACUUGAAGCUCAACAAAACAAGCACAGCGUACCUUCCAUUUUCUUCCAAAGCUUCUUUGCAGGGAGCCCUAGCUAAAAAACUAAUAGAAAUUAUCUUUUGUGUUUUCCAACUUAAUAUUUGGUUUAUGUAGUAACAGUGUACAAUGUCCUUUUUCCUCUAAAAAUAUCUUUAACUUGUCAUGAAUUAACAAUGGUUAAAAGUGAAUAAGUCUUAAAAUGGUUAGAGAAUUGAAAGAUCUAAUAACAUUUACAUUUUGAGUGGAUUAAAAAUCAAAUAAAGCUACUAGAGUUUAUGUCUAUUAGGAUGGUUUAUAUUAUCAUACCAUGCAUUAUAAAAAAUUAUGAAAGGAUUAAUAUCAUGACUAUUUCUCUCAAUGGAUAGAAGUGAUUUGAACAGCAAUUUGAUUUCUAUAUUUUUAAGUUUGAUUUAUUUUAGUUCUUGAACUUUCAAAAUAUUUAUUCUUUUGUAUUUUCAAAAUGUAGUCAAUUUUGUCCCUUCACUUCACUUUUUUUAGAUACUUAAAAUUGUCGAAUUUUAAAAUUUUAAACAACUAAAAUUAACAAUCAAAGUUGUAAUUAGUACAAGGAUUAUCAAAAUAAACAUUUUAAAAAUAUAAAAACCAAAAUAAAUAAAACUCUUUUAACAAAAAAUGUGAAUUAAAGAUCGGAACAUACACUCUCAACAUAUCUCACAACUAAAGUUUUUGACACAUGUUGAACACUCUCAACAUGCCGAUCCAUCCAAAAUUAUAUCAUGUAUAUGAAUUAAAAAAAUGUACAUGAAGGGCUAGGAAAGAGCCUCACCAAAGUCCAAUAAAAAAAAUUAGUCAAGACAUCCACAAAACAAAGGAGCAUAGAGGAUAGAGAAAAGUCUUCUAAUUUAGAUACCAUGGUUACAAACAAGAUAAAAUUUAGCAGAGCAAAGAGGCUGUCAUAUAUAAAAUGUCCUCCAAAAGGUGGUUGUAUCAUGGUAUGAGUGACAAGAAAAACUGUUGAAGGAGCCAAAUAUUUCAUAAAUAAGGCAACACCCACUAGAUUGAACCACCUGAUCCUGUUUGUAGAUGAAUAAGACAGAAUAUACAACAUGAGCUAAAAUGCUACAGCAGGAGUGAGAUAAACCAAAUAAAUCAAAAUAACGUUUAAUGUAACAAAUGGAUGGAUGGUUGAAUCCUCAACCUAUAGUAAUGAAGGUAAUACCAUCAAUAUUAUUGAAUCGAACUUACUUUGAUUCCUAAUGAAACCAAAUUUGAAUAUAUAUAGGAACCAAAAGUAGUAUUUAAACCUAUGUAUUUUUUAGAGUUGGAAGUAAAAUUAUGAUUAACACACAUGCAUGCAUAGGAAUAAUUAGGAUAGACAUAUAUAUAUAUAUAUAUAUAUCUGUAUAGGUAUGUUUUAAUAAUUUAGAUGGAGCCGAAUCUAUAGGGUAAUGUUUUUUAAGAACAAGGGUGAGUAGGAGAGAGAUUAUAUAAUAAGGUUGUAAUUUGUGACGUUUGAUAGAUAUAUACAAAAUUCCUUUGCUUUUCUUCUGCCUGUGAAGAAUAGAAAGUGUCCGGAUAUGGUUGUAAUUAUAAAAUUAGUUUUUUUUCUUUCUUCUUUCUUCUUUCUAUUUUAAAAAGAAACUUGUUUUUUUUUUCCUUUAAAAAUAAAAAGAAAUUCAAAUGUUGACUUCCAUAUAUCUUAUUAGUGAAAUAAAAGAUGUUAAAAUUAGUUUAAAGCAAAUCUAUAAACUUUGUUUUUGAAACAAAAAAGUUUUAUUUCGUUUCUAUUUUUUUGUUUUUCAUUUUUUAGAAAGUAAAACUGUUUGAUGAUCAAAUUAUGUUGGACAAUUGUUAUUGCCACAAUUAUGUUUUAUGGUUAUUAAUUUUUAAAAAAUAUUUUUCCUCCAACAAAUUUCUUUUUAACUUUUUCCCUUUCUAAAUUUUUCUCUAAAUAAAAUUCACACAUUAUUUUCCCGAAAAUAAAAUUCUUUAGUUAACCUAUCCAUUAUUUAUCUCUUUUCUUAGAUACCUCUUCUAUUUAUCUCUCUAAAAAUCAAGUUUAAUUGUCAACAUCGAGAAGAUAAUAAUAACAUCAAUAAUAAUAGAUUCUAGAAAUUUGAAGAAGAGAGAAUGAAAUCAUGAAAGAUUGCUGGAUUUAAUUCUAGAGUGAAAACGAAGUCAUAGGUUCAAAUUCGUUUUGCUCAUGGAAAGUUAUAAUAAUGUACCUAUAGAGAGAUUAAGGAUCACCUUUAAAUUCAAUUUUUGUUGAGAUGAGAUAAUUUUUUCCUUAUUCAAAUUAUAUCGGUUAGAACUAGAUGAUCUUAUUCGCUAAAUGAUAAUAGUUGAGUAUGAAUUUACUAUAUUUAAGCCUAAGUCAAACUUAAAUUUUUUAGCUUGUCAUUAUUUUGUCCAAUGUAAUUUCCCCGGCAACAUUAAUUCAAACAAUAUCUUCAAUAGUUCAAUUAUUAGCCGAUCAAUUCUUGGAGUUCAAUUUAAAAUUUUUAUUUUUCAAGGUGUGACGAAAGAGGCAUUUAAGGAUAUGCCAACUUAGUUGAAAUAUUUAUUCAAAUGUGUAUGUUUAUCCCUAGUUUUAGUAGAGAAAAAUACUUGGAAUGAGCACACAAUUCUUUUUUUAAAAAAAACUAUAGCAAAAUAAGUAUGUCAUGCAUUAUUUGGUUAUUAAUUAUCAACAAGAUUCAGAUGAAUUAGCUAUCAAUUUUGGAUGCAACCUUAGACAAUUCUGAGUUUGAACUAAAACUAUUUAAAAAUUUUACAACUUGAUAGAUAAGUAUUCAAAGUUGAAAACUAAAAUAUUAAAAAAUGUGUUAAAAUGAAUUUAUUUGGGCGUAACUCCAACCUCUUCUUCUACCUUUCAUUUCACCUACAACAGUUUUUCUUUUUAAAAAAUCUCUUACCACUCUUACUUUGUUUUAGUUUUCUCCAAUAUCUUUCAAUAUGGCAAACCCUUAUUUCAUAAGUAAUAUUUCACAAAUCUUCUCAAAUUUAAUAAUUUAUCAUUUUUAAUUUUUAGCAAAAUUUUACUACAUUUUUAACCUUUUAAUUUCCUAUCAUCUAUUAAUUUAUAAUAUUUUAAAAUAAAAAGUAUUAUUUUUUUCAAAAAAAUUGACCAUUACAUUAUUCCAUAAAUUCUCAAUAUUGCAUCAAAAAAAUACCAUGAUUUAAUUUUUGUUGUGCUUAUAUAAUUGUUCGAAAUAUAAUACGAUAUAUUAUAUAAAUUGAUAUAUAUAUAAUAAUAAUUAAAUAUAUAACAAACAUUUAUUAAAAAAUACAAAUAUAGCAAAAUCUCGCUGAUAGACUGUUAUGAUAUAUCACUGAUAGAGCAUAUUGGAAAUAUUAAUCUAUUCGUGAUAGAGACUUAUAUUAUUAACAGAUUUUUCUUGUUUGUAAUUUUUUUUGUUACUAUUUAAUUAUUUCAAUCUAAUUGGUAUAUGCUUAAUUAGCUGAAGACCAUUGAAAUUGGAUGAAGAAUUAUUGGAUAAAAAGGUCUAAACAGGCCCAAAUAAGCCUAUGCCCAAAUGAUGGCCCAAAUGCACCCAUGCACAGACCUUCGUAAAAAAAAAGCCUUUGGAAACUAAUAAAUAGAGGAACCACACCUUCAUUUAAGGAGGGGAAUUAAAGAAGGUUAGAGAAGAUGAAUAAUCGAAGACGUAGCUCAAUUCUUUAAGAUUUUGAUCCAUUGUAAAACAUCAACAACCCUGAGGUUGAUCCAACAUCGAGAUCAACAAAUUACUAUACAUCCACACAGUGUAGAAUAUACUAAACAAGUUGAAAGACCUAACCUUAAAAACAUUUGAUAAUCUGAAAGACAAAGGCCUUCGUAAAGGUGAAAGUUGAAAUCCUUUAGAAGCUAUAGGUCGAUGAUGCAUAUUGUCUCUUGAAGAAAAACAAUAACUAUUACAUUACAAUCUCAUGUGUUCUAGAGAUGAUGUGUUGUCAAAUGUAGGUGUGAAGUUUGUCUCUUAAGUGGAUAAUCUCUAUUUGAGACUAUUUAAAUUAAAUCUACAGUACUCAUACAAUAAAUAGAUUUAAUAUUUACCCAUAAGCAUAAGAGCUUACUAAAUCUUUGAGAAAAUUAUUGUAACUACAUAGGUAUCUGGUGUAGCCCCCGUCACCUUUUCAAAGACUACCCUCCUACUUAUUUAGCUCUCCUUGUUAGAGUCUUUUUCUUGGGUUUUCCUCUAGUCCUUAAUCACUUUUGUUUAUCAAUAAUAUUGGCAUCCAAUUUGGAAUUUGAUCUUUAGGUGGAUUUAUCCUCCUGUUCGUCUUGCUUGGCAAUUUGCCUCCUUUUAAAAAAUAUAAAUAUUAAUGGAUUCUAAUAAAACACUAUAAAUACUAUUGAUGUUUAGCUAUAUAUAUAAUAUAUACUAUUCUUUUUGUGCAUCCUUAUAUUUAAUACUAGCUAGGAAUGACAAACACCAACAAAGCCUAAAUGAGAUAAAGGGGAUAAUGACAAAUUUAGCAAUUAGAUUCAAAAUAAUUAAGUAUAGAGCAACAUUUUAAAAUUUUUGCAAAUAUAGCAAAAUUUGUCAAAUUCUAUCAAUGAUAUAAGUAUAUCACCGAUAAACUAAGUCCAUCAGCGAUACAAAGUCUAUUAAUAAUACAAGUACAUCAAUGAUAGUUUUGCUAUAUUUACAUUUUUUUAAAAAAUGUUGUUAUAUCCUUAAUUAUUAUUGCUAAAAUAAUACACUAAUAGUCUAAAUCCACAAAUAGUGUCGUCUAUUAAAAUUUUUCAUAAACUAGUAAAAACCACGUGUUAUCCACGUUAAAUGUUAAAUGUCAAGGUUUUGUUAAAUUUUGAAAACAAAUAUUUUUAAAAAAUAAAAUUAUAACAUUUAUUUUUUCUUAUAUUUAUAACCUACUUUUAUUUUCAUGGAGUUUUUUAGAGUUAAAAAAUAUUAUAGAAAUUGUGCUAAUAAAUUAUUUGUUUAGUAGACAUUAAGUGUUGGAAUGUACACAACCAAUCAUACAUUUUAAAUGAUAUUUUGAAAGAUGUGUAUUGUAAUUUUCCUUAUGUUCUUAUUAAAUUAUAUUUUUUCAUAAAAUAUUUUAUACAUAGUAGAAAUACAAUAUUUUCUGCAUAGUAUAAACACAAAGUAAAAUAGUAAAUUAUUAGCACAAAAAAAAAAAAUUAAAUGGAAGAAAAAUUUGUUCGAAGUAUUUGUGCCUGUUUUUUACAUAUUGCUAAUAAUAUUUUUUAUACUAAUAACUAUAUGUUAUUACUUAUCUAUUCUUUUUAAAGACAACUAAUGAUUAUGAAAUAUAAUAAAAAGACAUCCUAGAUUCAUCCGUUCAUCUUGACGUGAUAAAACAAGGACAAAGACGAAUAAGUAGUCAAAAUGCAAUUAUCAUGAGUAGCAAUUAACUGGUAUUGUCAUGAAAAAUAUAAAAUUUUAAAUAAGUUAUUAUUGAUAUUACUCUAACGAUUAUUAUGAAAAUCUCUAUUAAUUUUGCUAGCUAGUGAAUUUUGGUGCCUCAUUCUUCUCUUUUGGUUUUUAUUUUAAUGGAUUGGCUUGUACGUGACUUGAUGCUUCAAAGACGUGGUCUCAAACAUUCUCGUAUUUCUAUAUCGCUGUCCAUCAUCGCAAACUUGAAAGAAUGAUGUUUUUCAAUUAGCAUAAUAAGCUCUAUAUAGUAAAUUAAAUUUAUAGAAUAAGAAGAGAUAGAUGAAAAAUUUAUUUAUUAUUAUUGGUGUGAAGUGUCUAAUCAACAGUAGCUAAUGGAUAGUUUUGUAAGGAUAAUUUUCUUUUAAAAGCACUUUUUGAAAGAAUGAAUGAAAAUUUAAGAAGCUAGAGAUUUUUAGAAUUAGAAGGAAUAAAGUGUAAUUAAUAUCUAAUUAAUGUAUUUAGUGGUAAUUUGUUUUAAAUUUAAUCAAUAUUUAGAUUUUAAUUAUUAAUUAACUUAACAAGUGACUUUGCAAAAUUAUUUUAAAUUUUUAUUUAAUAAAUUUUUGAAAAUGAAAAAAUUGUUAUUAACGUUAUACUUACAAUUAGAACGAGUAAAACCGAGGAAAUGAUUGUUUUUGAAAUAUAUUACGUGCUAAUAUAUAUAUUUUUGUUUUAAAAAUUAUUUUAUUUGUUUGUUGUUCCCUAAUUGAUCCAUAUAUAUAUAUAGUGGAUAAAUAUUAUUUAAAUUUUACUAAUGUUGUCAUUUGUAAUAAUUAGGUUAAUUGGCUUGAUUGAAGGGAAAAAGGAAAAAAAAAGAAGUGGCCAUGCCCACGACAAACUAGAACAGAUAUUGAUAAUAAAAACAAACAAAAAUAUUGAUUCUUGUGAAUCUUCUGGCCAAAAUAAUAACAAUAUAACAAUAUCAAUAAAUAACUAUUAAUCCGAAUCUUUGCAUGCUACUUUAUUUGUGAAACACCGACACGUGCAUACUUAAUUAUUAUUAUUCCUUCAUUAUUUAUUCUCACAUCUCACAUGCUACAUUUCUUUAACCAUUUAAUUCAUCUUUUCUUUAAUAAUUCAACCUAUUAAUAUUCAUAACAACUAGCUAAUCAUCCAUUAUCAUUUCAUUACAGCUACACUUUCUUAUAAUUAAAAGAAUAGUAGAAGUCAUGUACUCAUUUUUCCAUAUUUUAUUAAAUGAAAACAUAUUACUAAUAAACCUCUAAAUGUCUCAAUAAAUAAUCAUCAUCAUGCAACUUUAUAUUAUUGGGUUUAUUUCCUAAGAACAUGGUAUAUAUGUCAUAUUUAUUGAGUGUUCUUCAAUAAUCUAAAUGAUUAUUGAAAUGUCCUCUAUAUAUAUAUAUAUUAAAAGAAAUUAAGUAGUUGUCACGUUAUGUAAUUAUAAUAUCGCAUAUUAAAUAUACUAUAUGAUUUUGAAAUAUUGAGUUGGAUCUCCCAGCUAUAUGUGACAACACGUAUAGUCUCUUGGCAUUGGAAAUCAUCCGUUCACGGGAUGAAUUUUUUCUUUUAAUAAAACAUCAUAACGUGAGUUCAAGUUAACAAGUUGAAAUUUUAGAUCUAUCAACAUUGAUAAAAACUAAAAGUUUGUUAUAUUGUGUAAAUACUUUCAAAUAUAAAUUUAGUUUUUCUCAUUUUUUAUUUUUAAAUUUUUGAAAAGUUUAAGAUGUUAAUUAAUUUUGUUUCUCAGUCUUUUGAUUAAAAAAAUAUUUUUGUCUAAAACUUUUUAUUUUGGUGUUUGAAAUAUAUUUGAUAGUGUAGGAUUUCAUUUCAAAACUAACUGUAAUGAGAGGAGAACUAUCUUAUAAGAAAUGUGAGUCUAUUUUGUUUUUUCAAUUUGAUAUUCAAUAAGAUAUUCUAAUUUUAUAAUUAAUCAAUAAAUUUGUGGGAUAUAAAAUUAAAUCGAUUGUCUUAUAAAAUUUAAAAUUUAGAGAUGUUUUUCAAAGUUUAUUGACUUAUUUUAUAUAUAUAUAUGUGUGUGUGACUCUUGAAGAUAAGAGUUUAAGAGUUGCAUAUGAUCUAUCGAUACUUGACAUACUUAUCACGAUGAUAAAAGUUUUUAAAUAUAAGAAUAAAGUCCUAUACUGACUAAUUAAAACCGUAACUUAUCAAAAAAAAAAAAAAAAACAAAUUGACUAAUAGAAGAGAAGAAAGAAAGAAAUAAUCCUCAUAAAAUAUAAGGGAGGACAAAAUUUUUAUUAAUAGAACUAUAAUAAGAUAAGAAUGUGUUGGAAAUACAUCACUCUUCAUUUCAUUAAUAUUUAUACUUUAGACUUUGCCACUCUAUUGGUCUGUAUACUUUUUCAACUUUCUAUCUUUUUCAAUUUGUCUAAACCAUGUAAUGUUAUAGGCUUUAUCUAAUAUGUUACAAAAUCGACCAAUCCACAAGCAAAGUAUACCAAAAACAUUAAAGAAUAAAGAAGCAUUCAAAAUAUUGUAAAAUUUUGACAACAUUCUUUUUCCAUACUAUUUUUUCUUUUUGUUUUUAAUAUUCAAAAGGAAGUUUUUUUAGUUGCAAGAUCUUGAUCAAGUCAAGUUUUCAAAGUUAGUUAUCUAUCUAUACACAAGAUUGUGGAGAAAUUAUAGGGUUGUCAUUCUUUUUACAACUCUUGGGACAACUCUUCCCAAGAUAUCUCAUCAUGUGAUUGUUUAUCUAACUUAUUAAAAAAACAAAACCUUUUGAUUUAAUUCAUUGUAGAGUUUUAAAGAGAGCUUCCCAUUUUACAACAAUGGUUUCAAAAGCUACUGCCUCUCUCGCUUUCCUCCUUGCCCUCAUUCUCCUCUCGUCGACUUUCGUUUCCUGUUAUGACACAUCGAACCUUAGACCUACUACACCUUCAACCAAGGCAAGAAAAAAAUGUCCGAAAAACACUCUUAAUUUUGAAAUUUGCUCGAAAUUACUCAAUGGUGAAACUAAUGCUGACAUCGAAAAGUGUCCAAAAUGUUGUAAGAUGAUGGAAGGACUUAUUGACGUUGAAGCGGCUACUUGUCUUUGCCUUGCUAUUAAAGCUAAUAUUUUGGGCAAGAAUCUCAAUAUCCCCCUCUCACUCAACUUGAUAUUGAGUGCUUGCCAUAAGAAGGUUCCAAAAGGCUUCAAAUGUUAAUUUAAUUACCAUCUUUUAUUUUGUUAGAAUAAAUGGUUAUUGGAAUAAAUGAUAAUUGUUUGUGUUUCUUCGUGAAUAGAUGCAUCAUAAGAGGAUGCAUCUCUUCAUGAAAAUUAAUAACUAAAUUAUAGAAAAAGGCAUGACUUUUCGAAUGGCCACGAAUAAGUCUAUAAAUAUGUCAUUUUCUAUUUGAUUAAAAAAAUACAUUUUUUCAUUAUCCAUAAUCUUGACGUUCGGUUGAUCCACAAAGUUUCAUUUGUUGAUCUUCUAGACAUGGUACUAUUUUUUGUAGAAAGCUGAUAUGUUCUAUUCUAGGAGACAAUUACUCUCAAAACUCAAGUACUAGGGUGAGUAAAUUUAUCUUAAGGAGACAACAUGAAUUCGUUGGACUCAGAUCUAUAAUGCAUAUAUGAGUUUUUCUUUGUUGUGAUAACAAUGUCGAUAACAUAUUUUGCAUUAUUGUUUAUUUCGGAAUGACUUGAACAAUUCUUCCUUCUUUGUAAUAACUUGAACAAUGCUCCCUUCUUCUUUAUUUGUUUUUGGGUUCAGAAGUAUAUGGGUUUUCCUAGUUUCUUUUUAAAAUAAUUUAAAUUUCAGUUGCAUUACUAUUAUUUGGGUGUCAAGGACUUAAAAGAUACAAACAAAAAAGUGAUUAAAAACCAUUCAUCCGUUAUUAUUAUUAUUUCUUUUUGUCUAAAUUAUCUUUGAACUAAUUUAUCAUUGCAAUGAGGUCAAAUAUAUAUCAUUAGAAAUUCUUUGAGGCUUCCUUAUUGCAAUUUAAAAUUUCAAAGUAUACGGUAAAAAUGAGGUUAGUUCGUUGACUAGGUAAAAUUUCUUGUAGUGAUUUAGUGGUAAUUGACAUGCAUGACUUUCGUUCCUAGGAUUAAGCUGGAGGUUCAAUUCUUGUCCCAUUAAUUAUUUUAAUAAAAAAAGAAUUAUCAAUUGAUAUAUUGUUAAUUCGUGGAUGAUAAACUUUUGAAGCAAAUUUAGAAUGAAGGAUGGUCUGAUUAUAUACUUGAAACAACUUUUUAAUGAUUACUAAUAAUAUAUUAUUACUGUUCAUGGCUCUAAAAUUUUGAUUUUGAAUUGAGUACUGAUAACUACUAUUGCAUACCAAUAUAUAACACAAUUUAGUAUUGUAUUUUUAAGGAAUGAUGAUAUACUAUGGGUACAUUAAUUAUAUUAUUUAACUUUGAAAAGCUGUUUGAAUUAGUAUGUAUAUAAACUGAACCAUAUACUUAAUAUUUUGGCAUCACAACAAUAUUAUAAUGUAUAAAAGACAAAAUCCUUUAUAUCAUUAUAUGCUUAAUUUUCUUUCUAUUUACAUAUGACAUAAACCAAUCGAUAUACAAAAUAAUAUGAAAUAUAUACAAUUGAUAUACAAAAUUAAAUGCAACUAAUUGCAUAUACAAUAUAGCAAAACCAUCUCAAAAUUUUGACAAUAAAACAAAUUAAAUUCUUUUAAAAAGAGAUACGAUUCAGAUUAGUAGAUUAGUAGAUGCAUUUAAGUAUUAUUGUAUAUCAAUAAAAAUAUAUAUUAUCCAAUUCGGUCACUAGUUGGACACUCUUUUUCUACUCCAAAAUAUAUAUUCAAUAAAAAUCAGAAAAAACUGAAUAAUGUCAAGAAGAACGGGAGAAUCUGUAUUAAAUUAAUAUAGAGUCAAUAGUUGAGGCAAUUAAAUGAAAAUUAAGAUAUACAAAGAUUAAUGUAAUUAAUUGAAAUAUUAAAUUACAUGUUUUGUCAAUAAUUAAAAUUUGAAAUUUUUGGUUCUUUUAAUGUGUAAAUUUUCAAUCUUGUCUCACAUAGAUCAAUUAACUUUUAAUUUUGUGUAUAGUGUAUUUUCGAACCAUUUAUUUUUUUAAGAAGUUAAUUGAUUUAUUAUAUAAAGUAAUUAUUUGAUUUUUAUGUGUAUAAAAUCCAAAAAAAUGGUGCCGCUUUUACAUGUUGUGUUCAAACUUCAAGCUUCUUCUAGCUGCCUUUCUACUUUUAAUUUCCAACCAUUAAUGACAUAAUUUUUUGUUCUGUGAUUUUUUUUAAAAGAAAAACAAAAAGGAUAUUUUAAUUUAAGACUAGUAUAUUACACAAAAUAAAUGAAUAAAUUAAAUAAUUGAUAUAUACAAACUAUGGAACUACAAAUGUUAGAAACAAUAAAGCGUUUUCUUUCUAUUUCCAUAUUACCGAAAAUCAGGAUCUCAAUUCUCGAGUCAACAUUUCAAGUUAGUUAUGUAUACAAAGUUCGAGGGAGGAAAAAAUGGGAAAUGCAAGUCCCCAUCUCAAAAAUGUCCAAAAUUAAGUUUGCAUAAACUUUUGAGCUUUCUAAAAUAAUUGCCACCUAAACUCAUCACACGUGCAUGGAUGAUGGAGUUAUCAUUAUUAUUUUUAAAACAAUAUAUACACUUUUAUAAAGUUUGUUCAUUCUUCUACGUCACAUUCAUUCUUCAUAUACUAAACCCUAUAAAAACCCUAAAACCCCAUCUCCAAUUCUCCCACACCAAAUCCUCAACUAAGACUACUUGGUUUCUGGUUUAAUUUCCAUUGAGUUUUAAUACAUCAAACCAUGGCUUCCAAAGCUACUGCCACUCUUGCCUUCCUCCUCGCUCUUAAUCUCUUUUUCUUCUCUCUCGUCUUUGCCCACAAUGACCGUUAUGUUUCGUCAAACCCUAAUCAUACACCUAUCCAUGAGGAUGGAAAAAAGUGCCUAAAAAAUACUCUUAAGCUUGGAGUUUGUGCAAAAUUGCUCGGUAAUCUUGUUGAUGUUACGCUCGGCAAGUCUUCAUGUUGCCCUUUGAUCCAAGGGCUUGCUGAUCUUGAUGCUGCUGUCUGUCUUUGCAGUGCUCUUAAAGCCAGUGUGUUGGGAAGCAACCUCAAUAUCCCACUCUCACUCUCCUUGAUUCUCAAUGCUUGCAAUAAGAAAGUUCCAAAUGGCUUCCAUUGCUAAACUUAGUAUCUUUUGCUUCAAUAAUUAUUUCACAAUGUUUAAUGUUUAAUUUGAGGGUAUGUGGUUUAGAAUACUUACAAUUACUAUAGCUUACUUGCUCUGUUUCCUAAAUGUUAUUUUCCUUUUUGGUUUAAGGACCAAUAUAUAUAAGUUUACCUAUUAAGGACCAAUAUAUAUAAGUUUACCUAUUAAGGACCAAUAUAUAUAAGUUUACCUAUUGGUAAUUUUAUCAGUGAGUCAAGAUUUCAUAUAAUAAGUUAGAAAAUUAAUGAUAAAGAAUAUAUAUAUAUAUAUAUAUAUAUAUAUAUAUAUAUAUAUUUCCAUAUUAUUUCCAUUUUCUUUCUCUAUAUUUUGUAUAGCUUCUUCCUAAAAGCUUGACAAUUGAUUAAUGGGCAUAUAAUCAUGUGUCUAUUUUUCAUUAUUAAUAACGUUAAUGACAAUUGGUGUGUUCCUCGAUGUGCCUCGAUGAAAAUUAAUAACGAUGUGAAAGUUUUAGUUAUGAUUGAUAAAUGAUAAUCUUGAUGUCCCUCAAUCAUAAUUGGUGUGUCCUUUGUGGGAACCACAUAAUGAAUCGUCCCUGUAUAAAACCUACUUUUAUUCAUUAUCCUUACUCUUCCUCUUUAUAUUCUCAUCUCAAAGGUAUUGUUAUAAAAUCGACAAAUAUACAUUAGAUAAACAAUCAAGUAUAAAUAAAAUCAAUUAUAAAUUUACGUGAUUCAGUAGGUUAACUAACUACGUUACCAUGCAAAGGAAGAAUAGUCAAGCUUUUUGGGUAGGUUAACUAGCUUCUUCCUACGUUACCAUCAUUAAUUAACCUUUUUGAGUUUUUUUUCUCUCUUUUUGCUGGACUCUCCGGUAUCAUCUUAUUUGGCAUCGACAUUUCUUGUUGAGUUUGAAAUUAAAACAACAAAAGCACUAUGUCGUUAAUAUCAAGCUAAUUGAGAUGUUCAAGUGCACCUUUUGAUCCCUACGUACUUAUUAAAAGAAAUAGGUAUUUUCACACAAUCGAUGAUAUAAAAAUAUAAAAAUUUAGUUGGGAUAAUUCAGUAAAAGUGAUCUUAAAAAAUUUGCAAAAAAUGGGGACUUAAGCCCAGGCCUGCAGGAGGUGAAAAAUAAAUUUACUGGUGGGUUAACUAAUCAAACAUGAUACUAUUUUUGUUAUAUAUAUAAAGAGUGAGGAAGGGUGUUUGAUUUCCACGAUGAUUUACCUAUUUCACUGGACAACUUCAUUUACAAGAUGAUCCAUCUACACAAAAGCUCUAAAGGAAAAGUUCCGUGGUACAGUCUUAUAAGUCGUUCGAAAGGCUAAGAAAUACACCUCAAAAUUGUGGGAUGAGAUCAUUUCUCUUGUAGCCUUUUUCAUAUAUGGUGUACAAAAAUUAAUUUUUUAAAUUAUGGUGUCAUUUCUAUGGUUCUAAAUUAUUGGAAGGUUUUCAUCAUAAAGUUUGAGCUCAGUGAAUUAGCUUAUGUAUCUUAUAAUUUCAGUGUGACAUCCUCCACACUACGAAUAUAUAUAUGUGUGUAAGAUUUUAUCGUGUUUCAUGUAAAACAAAAGAGAAAAUAUUAUCCUUUAUUGGCUCUAAGUUUUGAUCAAUUAGUUUUUGUUUCGGUUCAAAAUUUUUUAAAAUUAACUUUUUGCCUCUCAAUUUUUAAUUUAUUCCCUAUUUGAUUGGCUAUAAGUUAUGUCAAUAUUUUAAAUAGUACUAAAAGAGAUGUACAUUCAAAAUAUUAUAUUUUUGUCUUGUGUUUUGCUUCCAAUUCAGCUUCUAAAUUAAGAUUAGCACCUUUUAUAGUUAAUUGUUCACUAAAUAUUAGUCGUAUUCUUUUUUCUAAAAAAAAAUCACUAAAUAUUCUUUUGUGUAGAAGGUUAAUUAAUUUUUGCUAGAUGUUAAAAGAACUAAGUCUAAUUAGGUUACUUUCAUUCAUUUCUCAUUAUUGAUAAAAUUAGAGUGUGAUUGAGCCGUCGAAUAAACUUCUCUGAGUGAUAUUUGAAUAUCCUUAGAAUUUCUCUUAUUCAUAUGUGAUCCCAUUAAUUAAUAUUUAUGUACCUCCGGUGUCGCACAACUAUACUUUUCUCAUCACGGAAGGUGUAUAAAUAAGUAUGAUAAUUAUGCUUAAAAAAUUCUUACUAAAUAGAAAAAAACAAUUGUAGAUAAGAAUGAUAAAUAGAAAGAGAAUACGAUUAUUGCCGAAACGUGUCUACUAGAAAUAAAAUUAGUUAUUAUAGUUAUUGGUAAAAUCAUCCUGAGAUUCUAUAGAGAAACGGUAAAUGCAUGAAUUCUAAAAAAAAAAAAAAAAAAGAAAACUGUGUGUGCUUGAGAAAUACAUAUAUAGUUCUUUUAUUGAGACGUAGGAUCUGUAGUAGAGAUGUUCGGAUACACCUACUUAUCUAUGUAUCUUUUCAAACAAAAAUUUAUACAUCAAUCUAUUUUUUUUCGUGAUUUGCUCCCAACGAAAGGGAAUAUCAGUUAGUUUGUAAUUAUAUAUAUAGUAGUGCUUAUUUCUCGGUAACAAUUUUAAAUUGAAACACUUUCCACCAGCUUAUUCCUUAUACAUUUUCCCACAGCAUGAACCUUUCGUAUCUUAUUCAAAAAAAGCAUUGAACCUUUGCUUUUGUAUCUUUGUUCAAAUAGAAAUGAAAACAAUUAUUGUUGGUAGGUAUUUACAAAACCCCCACCUACAAGACAAUUUGUGAUCCCCUAUUGAGCUUUAGAUCAGAGCACAUGACUUCCAAUUGCAAAUAUACACUCACAAGGAUAUAAUUAGAGAGACAAAAGGUUAAAAAAAGUGUAUUUCUAUCUCGUUCAGAAAUGUCCAAAACUUUGCAUAAAAUUUUGAGAUUUAAUCGUCAAACUUGCCAGCUAAAAUCUCAAGAGACCACACAUGGAUCACCCAAAUAAUCAUAAUAUAUCAUAGAAUAUAAUUAUUGUUACCAUCUUAUUUAAUUCAAUUUCCACAAAUGAUAUCAUCUCUUCCAUCCUCACCCUCUCCCUCCCCUUCCCUAAACCCUAUAAAACCCCACCCAAUCUCCCCUUUCUCCCACCACCAAUCGCUCCAAAUCCUUCCAACUUUCAAGAGAGAUCCAUCUUGGAAAAAGAAAAAAACAAAAACCCUAAUGGCUUCCAAGGCUACAGCCUCACUUGCUUUCCUCCUCUCUCUCAAUCUCCUAUUCUUCACCUUUGUCUCAGCAUGUGAUAAUUGCUAUGUCCCUGCCCCACCCAAGCCCAAGCCAUGCCCUCCUACUAAACCAAACCCUCCAUCUAACUAUGGAAAGUGUCCUAAGGAUGCCCUUAAAAUCGGUGUCUGCGCCAAGCUUCUUGGCGGCCUCGUCGACCUCACCAUCGGCAAGCCCCCAGUGACCCCAUGCUGCACCUUGGUUCAUGGUCUUGCUGAUCUUGAAGCCGCUGUCUGCCUUUGCACUGCCAUUAAAGCUAGCGUUCUGGGGAACAAGAUUAAAAUCCCACUCCACCUUAGCUUGCUCCUUAACGUUUGCAACAAGAAUCUUCCCAAUGGAUUCCAAUGCUGAUUUUAAUUCAGUAUUUCCGUAUUUUUGAAUUCUUGAAUGUUUUGAUGUCUUGUGGUUCUAUGUUGUGUUAAUUUAAUUAUUACCAUUUAUUCUGGGUUGUAGAAUUGGUUUCAUUGGUUGUUUUUCUUUUAAAUAGUUCUUUGAUCAAUAAAGUUUUAAUCUUUUUCCAAAAAAUUGGUGGAUUCAAUUACUGAUUGUUGUCUUGUAAAUUUCUACAUUUCUACAGCUUUUAAACACGCAAAGCCAAUAAGUUGUGCACCAAAGUAAACUUCUAGCUAGUUUAACUGUAGUAUUAAAUUUUGAUUGAUAGACGGAUAUCUUUUUUAAAAGGGGUGCAACACGAGGACUUCCCAAGUGGUCACCCAACUUAGUACUACUCUCGUCGAAGCACGCUUAACUGUGGAGUUCUGAUGGGAUCUGAUGGGAUCUGGUGCAUUAGUGCUGGUAUGAUCGUAUCCAUAUUCAUAUUUUCACGUUUUUAUGAUUAAAGAGUGAAUUGAUAUUUUCCUUUUAUAGAUAUUUUCAUCAAUAUUUUUGUAAAAUUAACACGUCGGUAUUUCCAUUAAAAUCUCGACAAUUUAAACAUUAUGUUUGACAAAUAAUUAUUAAAAUUCGGUUAGUGUAUUCCUUAGAAAAAUAAACUCAGAAAAAAAAAACUAUCGCUGGAAGGUAAACAUAGUUUGUAUAAUUGUGGUUAUCAAAUAAUAUUUAGUUCAUUCCUAAUUAUAAUUGUAUGCGAAGAUAUGUCAACCUAGUUAUGAUAUAUCUAAAUGGACCUCUUGCUCUUGAUCCAUAUUCCUUUUAAGUAUGUAUCAUCGUGAUUGAACUGAGAACAAAGAUUUAAUGUUAUAGUUAUUGCAUAUUCCUUUUAAGUAUGGAUCAUCGUGAUUGAACUGAGAACAAAGAUUUAAUGUUAUAGUUAUUGCUUUUGAAAAAAGAUUUAUGGCUCACUUUGACAAUUCAAACCCAUAUCCAACAAUUUAUUCAUUCUAUAUAUUCAAAAUCGCGUUGCACCAUUUCAAACUAUGUUAUUGACAACUUAUCUCAAUUUGAGUGUAUACUAAUAACUAUCAAAUUCGUUAUAAGUUUUGAGACUAACAAAAGCGAAGUGAAGACACAGUUAUACAAGGAGACACUAGUUUGAAAUUGUAGUUAUGCCCAAAUUUGAUUUUAAUUAAUUUCUUUUUUGACGUUAACUUUUUUUUUAGCUAUUAGGUAAUUCAAUCAAUUUUCUUUUACUACAAAACAUAAAUUAAUCAACCAGAAAAAAUCUUCAGCGAAUUGAAAAUUGAAAUAUAUCGAGUAUGAUAUACUUUUCGAAAAUAAUUCAUUAGACAAAAGAGGGAUCAAAGGUGCACUAAGACAUCUCAACUAACGAUAUAAAAAAUGCAAGCCACUUAAGCGAUAUAGAAGUAAGGUUAUUAAUUAAGUGAACUUUUGGAGAUGAAAGAGCAGCAAGAUUAAGAAUAUCUUCCCAAAUGUGACUGGAAGAUUUUCUACCACUUUUUAAAGUACGAUCAUUUCGCUCCAACGAUAAGCCCCACAACGAAGAAGCUCCAAUAAGGCAACCAAAUAAAGUGUUCCUCUGUGGUGUGUUAUAUUUAAGUUGAUGAAGUUUAAGAAGGACAUCCAAAGAAGAGGGAAGGAUAUUACCAGCAUCCAACAACAUGUAAAAGCAACACCAAAUAUCAUGAAAAUAAUUGCAAGAAAUGAAUAAGUGGUCAAGAGUUUCACAGUGACUCUUGCAAAGGACAUCAAUUUAGAUUGAGAUUGAGAGAGGGAAAUCUGAGUUGCCAUUUGUGGAUGGUGUUAAUAUCUUCAUGUAACAGAGCCCAAUUAAUGAAGAUUUUACAUUUUUUUGGAUAGAUUAUUACUUCAGACCGACCUGACAUUAAAAAAUAAUGUUGACAUUACCCGUUCUUGGCAUAAGAUAGCCUUCAAAGAGCUAAAAGAAAAAGCACCAUUUGACGUCAGGGACCAAGUAAGAAUAUCGGAGCAAUUCUAUUAUUCAAUGGAAGUUGGCCAAGCAUAAAAAAUGGAAGUUCCAGUCACCUGCUUUCUAUCCAAUAAUUGCCUUCUAAAGUUUGGAAGCCACCUCAAUAAAAUGGGUAUUUCACGCCUCAUGUACCGUGAUAUCUUUCUUGUCAGAGAUAACAUAAACAUGAGUGAAUUUUUGUUUUAGAAUACUAUUAUUAGAGGUCCAAUUCUUAAACCAUUAUCACAUUAGUUGAUCUAUACUUACUAAGAUAUCAUUAUGUGGGUGCAGUUGUUGAUUCUUUUUUUUCUUCUUGAUCUAGUUCGAGAGAUUAAUAAAUGCACCAAGUCAGGUUAACUAGAGUUUGACACAACCUUACUUCCCUCAUUAUAUCUCGAAACUAAUAGGGAUACAUUACUGUUCAAUCAAAACUAAAAAUUGUUUAUUUUAUUUUAGCGGUCAAUCAGACACCCGUAAAAAUGGUUGAUGAUGACAUCUAUUGAUUUUAAUUUAAAAUUAAAGAUGUGUUGGUCACUCUAUAUUGUCUCAGGCACGAGACAAUAUACUUCAUCUAUAUAUAUCUAUAUAUAUAUAUACUUACAUCUAAUUUAAAAUUGAAUUCUUAUAAAAGUCGUGCUAUUAAAUAUUAACAACUUUUAAUUUACUUCACACUACACCACUAUUAACAUUUAAGUUUUCAAUUCACUCGCGAAAUUUCAGAUAUCCCAACGCUGCUUUAACCCGUAUGGAGAAAAGGUGUUAAGAAAUAGGGUAUCUACAAACACCUAACAUAAUGUGUCAGCAUGAAGAGAGGCAAACUUCCGAUGCAGUAGCAAAGACGUCGGGAAAGCAUGGGCUACAUCCGAUGUCAUGCAUGCAUGAAUUGACAGAAAAUAAUCAUUUAAAUAAUGAUUGUGUUUAUCCCGACUCUAUGCAUGUAUGCAUUGGGAUUUGUAGGGCUACUCCUGACGUCGUACAUGCAUCCGUUGGCAGAAAAAAAAAUCAUUUUAAUAAUGAGUAUUAUGUUUAUCCUAACACCACGCAUAUGUGCGUUAGGAUUUGGAUGGGACCCUCCUGACGAAUGCUUUGGGAGUAGUUGGGAACUCCCAACGCGUAUCGUGGUGUGUCAGAAGUUUUCUCUUUAAAAACUCUCUUCCAGAUCUAGAAGAGAAAAGGAGAAGAUCAGAGAAGAACGAGAAAGUGCGCGAGAAUAGAAACGACCACCACCCGCCGCCCUAUGCCAUUGUUGUUCGUUGUGCCUCGGUCGUCGCCUUCUUCUUCAAUAACUAUAGAUUUUUGUUUUGUUUUUUUCCUCUUUAUUAUUUUUGAUUAACUUAAUAAAAUAAAAUUAGAUUUGCUUCUUGUAAUCAUCUGGUUGAUGAUAUUUGUGUUUGAUGCUUGACAAAUUUAGGUAGAUUUUUAAUUUUGCCCUAAAAUAACUUUGAAGGUUAAAAUCUCCCAAAAAUCACAUUGUUUUGUCGUGGAAUGUUGCAACUACACUUGAAAACUACAAUGUGCUUCAAAUUUUAGCAUGUUUGAAGAUCCUCGAAAUGAAUUUGGAAGCCACAAUGUGUAUUUGUUGCAAAACUAUAUUGCAAAAUAUGUCAAAUAAUGGUAUUUGUUCCAUGUUAUUAAUUUCAACAAUUUUGCUUAGAAUCUUGGUCUAUAUUGCAAAAUAGAGUACAUGAUAAUAUUUGUUCCAUGUUAUUAAUUUCAACAAUUUUACUCUACUAUUGGGCGUUGAGAAGUUUCAUAGUUUAAUUAAUUCCAUUGAUUUUAUUUCUUAAGAUAGUUGAAUCAAUUGACUUUCAUGUUUAAUUCCAAGUUACUAAGUGUAUUUUAAGAGUGACUCUAGAGUUGUAUCACUCUUACAGAGAUGGAGUGUCCCUAUUUAAUUUUAAGAUCCUAUGAGUGUUUGGAUUGAUUUUUGAAGUGUUUAAUUUUUAAAAUAAUUUAUUUUAAGGUAAAUUGUGGUGUUUGACACGGGUUUAAAAUAAUUUUUAGAAAAAUGAGAUUAUGAAAUAAAUCAUUCUAUAGAAAAUUACACAUGCAACCAAAUUUUAGAAUAAAUGUUUGUUUGGUGUUUGACGAUGAAUCUUUCCCAAAUAUCUAUUUUUCUUCAUCUAUUUUUUCUAUUCCUUUUUACUAUCUAUUUUUCAUUCUGUCGUCUUUUUUUAAUUUUUUAAAAAUAUUUUAAAUAUUUUUUCAACGUGUGUUCAUAUACAUUUAAAUAUAUAUAGGGAUUUACAAAUGUUUCGCCUUAACAUCUGUAAAAGAAAUCAUGAGAACGUCAAUGAAGAACAUGAUCGUUCGGUUCGUAAAAUGAAGAUGAAUGAAGAACGUGAUCGAAUUGAAUAUUUUUUUGUCUAGUUGAUAUUAUAUUGUCUUGAAAAAAUUAUUUAUCUUAUCUAUAUUCUGUUGAUGGAAAUCAAUUGUUUUUUUUUUUAUGGUUAUCUAUUUACAUUUGAUAUUUGUGCUUCUAAAAUUGAAUUGUCCAAAAAACAUUAAUACAAAAAAAAAUGAAAUUAACGUUUAGUUUCAAGUAACACUAAACAAUUAAUAAUUACAUGAUAACGUGUGAUUAGUUUUAAAAUAUAUUUAUAAAAAAAGAUUCAAAAUGUAUGUAUUAUGAAAUUAGUUCAUAAUGUUUAAUAGUCUUUUAUGUAAUUUAACUAAAUAUAAACAUGGUUAGUAUAGGAGAAACCAAACACAAUUUGCAUAUAAACAUUUAUAAAAAGGUCGAACCAAAUAUGUAAGUGUUUAGAUUUUAAACUCAUACAAAAAGGAUUUUUAAAAAAAUGUAUUCUUAAAAAAAUAUUUUAUUUUAUACACAAUCCAAACGGACGCUAAGUCUUUUUCCAUAAACUAUUUUUCUCUCUAUUUAGAUUAUUGAAUGAUCAAAUCUAUUAAAUCUUUUAGGUCUUUAACGAUGAACAAGAAUUAGAUCCAACUUAAAAAUAAAUUGCAUUAUAUAAAGACAUUGGCGUUGAGGUUGUUCUUACUCUCAACGCCAUAAUAAUCGCGUCAGGAGUUCCCUACUCCUUACACCCAUUCAUAACAGCGUUGGAAAAUCGUCUUCCAACAAUUCUAUAUGUAUUGGAAGAUCCUUUUUCAACACAUUUUAAUAUAUAUGUUGAGGAUGUUAUAUGUGAAGAGAGCUAUUAUUUCUUGUUCCAUUAGCAAUAUUAUUUUGUGAAGUCUCUUUGGAAUUUGUGGAAGUAUAUAAUACUCUCGUAUGUGUACACCACUCCCACUAACAUGCAAUAAUUAUAAACAUAAAUUAAUACUUUGUCACCCUAGCUUUGAAAUUGAAAUCAAGAUUCCUGUGAAUAUAAAUGAAAUUUAAAAGAUAAUAAGUAAUAUAAUGUAAUAUCAUAAUAAUGAUAUAAUGUACUAUGAUCCCAUAAAUAAGAGAAAUGUUAACAUGUCCUAGGAAACUUGACGACCACAUUUUACAUAUAAUUGUCACUAAUUGCUUAUAAUUAUUUAAUGUUUACAAUUAUUUUAUUGUCACUAAAAGUCUUAUUAUGACAUUUUUUUUAAAUAGUCCAUGAUUCUAUCAUAUCUUGAUAUGAUAGGGGUAGUUUUUAAAUAUCAUAAUAUAUGUUAAAAUUUAUCAUUGAUAAAUUAGAAGUAGAUUGAUGAUAUAUAAAAGUUUAUUAUUGAUUAUAGACUUUGUUAUAUAUUUACAAUUAAUUUUGUUAAAAUAUUGUUAUACAUUUAAUUAUUAUUCUUAAAAUUUUUACACAUACAAUUACCUAAUAAAUAAGAUGAUGUUUUAUCUCAAAAUUAGUUGAAUUUAAAAUGAAAUCUCAUGUUAAUAUAUUUUUAGUUGUUGGGACUUGUAUGUAUGUUUCACAUGUCUUAUAAAAAAUAUGUGUGAACUUUAUUACAAUAUUAUACUCUUUUGGUUUUGUAUAAUAAUACUCCAUAUUUACACCACUUCCACUAACAUUCAAAAUUUUCAAUAAGAAACAACAUAUAUAUAUAUAUAUAUAGAUUAAUAAUUUCCACCAACCAUUCAAAUUGAGUUUAAAAUUUUAAAUAAAUAGAAUAAAACGACAAAAUAUUUACACCGUAUUAGAACAAUUUCAAAAAUAGAAAAAAGUCUCAAUUAAUUGGCAUCCAACGCGUAAUAUAUUUGAAAAACCGUCAUCUAGUAUUUGCAAAACGAUCAUUUAGAUUUGAUUAUUCUUUUCUAGACAAUCGUUUAGAUUUGAUUGUUUAAAUUUGAGUUACCAAAUCUGAAUGAGUUUUUUUAAAGAUUCGUUAAGAUUGUUUGGUACCCUUAAAUUUGGCUAUACACGAUCAUUUAGAUUUGGCUAUCCAAUAUUCUAACGAUUGUUUGUACUUGCUUUGGGCUUGUCUCUAGCCCUUUGGCUUUGUUUGGGUUGUUCUCUUUGCUUCUCGUGUACUUGAUUUUCUAUAUUAAUGAAGCGGAGAUGAUGAGGGUACUAAGGGGAUGUCCACCUAGUGGAGAUGUCCGGGUGCAUCUACUGACCCAUCAUAUCGUAUCCUUCAUCAAAAAAAGAUAUUCCAACAAUUUUUUUCAUGAUCUAAACAACCAAAUAACAUUUUUUUAAAAAAAAAUCUUAUAUAUUAAUACAUGAUUUUGAACCAAAUAACGGUUUGAAAAAAAUAGAAAAUAAAAAAAUUGGAGAAAAAGAAAAAAAAAAUUGAAGGGAAAAAGAAAGACGAUGAUAGAAAAAAAGAAUAAUAUUACAGAUUAUAAAGAAGAGAGAAUAAAGAAUGAUGCAGAUAAAAAAUAUAUAAAACUAGACAUAAAUAAAUGGAAAUGAAGAUGAAAAAAUGGGGAAUAAGAGAAAGAAUCGAAAUUAAAAGAUCUUUAUAAACUAGUAAAGACAAAUAACCUUGACGAGCUUUUGUUGAAUGGUUGUAAUUGCCCUAAAUAUUUUUCUAUUUUAUUAUAUUUAUGAAAUUUCCCAAAUAAUUAUGUGGCAAUAUUUAUUGUAAGUACUUUAUUAUUUUGUACAGCUCUCCAUAUAUCAUUACACCACUCCCACUUAUAUGAAAGUUUACACAAUGAGAAGAAUAAAUUAAUAUUUUGUUCAAAUUCAAUUUAAGAUUCCCAAUUAUGAGAUUAUAUAUAUAAAAAAAAUAUUUAGUCCAAGAUUCUCAUAUAUAUAUAUAUAUAUAUAUAUAUAUAUAAUUAUGAAAAUAAUAACAAUGUAAAAUAAUAACUGCAAUGAGAUUGUAUAUUGGUAAAAAAAAGACGGUGCCUUAAAAAUGCAAGUUCUUCGUUUGGACAGUCAUCCAUGAAAAAAUCAACACAAUGGAUGUUAUCUAAAAGAAAAUAAAAAACUUCUGCCUGCUAAACCCAAACCGUUGUGUGCAUUACAAAUCCAACAGUAAAGACAUAUACCACUUAUUCAUUGACUGCCAAGUUUCAAAGGCCCUUUAGGAUAAACUACUAUCCCACAUUGGAUUAAACUUUGAUAGAGAGAGCACCAAAUCUUUUCUCUUUAUUCAUAUGCAAACUCAAGCAAACAGACAGAAAAAACACUAUCAGAUUCAAUGCCGGAGCGGCCCUUCUAUGUACGAUCUGGGUGGAAAGAAACAAUCAAAUCUUUAGAGAAAUCAAAAGAAGCACUGUGAACAUAUGGAAAGACGUUGGCCAAUCUGAUCGGUCUAUGGUUCAACAGGCAUAAAUCUUGUAGAACACUAUGACCCUUGCAGUAUUUCACUAAAUUAUAGAGCUUUAUUAAACUAAAAUAGGAUGUAUAGCCUUAGCUCUGGCCUUCCUUUCAUGUAACUCUGCUCUAUGUAAUUAUAUUUUGUGCUCAGUAUUAUAGGAUAUGCACUUUCUAUAUACACCUAGACUUACGGAAACACAUUGUUGCCAACUUUUGUAACGCAAAUAUAAAGUAGCGGAAACAACUUAUUAGAAACAAAAUCUAACCCAAUCUAUCAAAUCCUAGGAAAGACAUCUUUUGAUCUACUCCUAUGCUAAAAACGUUAAACUUCAUUGCCUUAGAGCCAUCCAUGAUCUUUUUAUUUGAAACUGACUGCAUUUUAGAAAGAUUUCCAAAAGAUGAGUACAAGUACUCCAUAAGCAAUUUCCACAUCAAGAUUUGAAAUUCAUUGUCUCAAAAGUUUUGUAAAUCAUAAAAUAAAUCAUUCUAGAACUUUUAGUCAAACUUUACUAAAAAAACCAUAUUUUCAAAACCAAAACUUUCGAGCAAAAACUUUUUUUUGAGACUAUUUCAAGAAAAAACUCUAAGGAUAGUAAUCUAUAGGUAGAUUUCCACCUGGGAAUCUUAAAUUGAAUUUGAAAGCUAGUGGCAAAAUAAUAGUUUAUUUUUCUCAUUUGAAAACUUUCAUAUUAAUGGGAGUGGUGUAUUCGUGGAGAAUUGUUCAAAAUAGAAAAGAACAUGGCCAUAUUGCAAACAUAAUAUAUAUAAUUUGGAAUCCUGAACUCUCAAUUUCGACGCUUGAUGGAAAUUAUUAACAUAUGUUGUUUCUAAUUGAAAACUUUCAAUGUUAGUGGAAAUGGUGUACAUAUGGGCUAUUAUAUAAAACCAAAAGAGUAUAAUAUUUGCUCAUAGAGUUUAAACACACAAAUUUUUAAUUAGACAUGCGAAACAUAUGUAUUUUCUUUAAGCACUAAUAAAAUUUAAUUUAGAGAUUUUCUCUUUUAAUGUAUAUGUUUAGUUCUCCAUUCAUCUAUACUACUUAUAUUUGCCAUAUAUCAUGCCAGAUUAUUGGAUAAAUGUCACAUUACCACUAAACGUAUUUUAAUUUCAAAUAUUACAAUGUAAUUAAACUAUUGAAUAGAAGAAAAUAAAUAAUAACAACAACAAUAAUAAUGUAGUAGAAAGUACUUUUUGAACUAGAGAUUCCAUUUAUGCUAAUACUAUAUAACAUAGUAAAUUGUGUUACCAUAUAUUGAAGAAUCUAAUUUUUUUAUUAAAAAAAACAUGCAUUUUCUUGUUAUUUCCAUAAAAAAAAAAUCAAGUCGCACCCGAAGAUUGAGGAAUGGAAACAUGCUAAAUAAUUAUGCGAGUCCCCAUCUUACGAAUGUUCAAAACUAAUUAAGCUGGGCAUAAAUUUGUGAUUAGGUUUUUAAAUAUGUGCCAGCUAAAGUCAUCACACAAUAUGGAAGAUGGAGUUGUCAUUAUUAAUGUUUCUUAUGAAUAUUUAAUUUUACUAUCAGUUUCGUUAUCGUUUUAGGCCACAUUCAUCUUCAAAAACUAAACCCUAUAAAAACCCUAGCACCCCUAUCUCCAAUUCUCACACACCCAAGCUAGCCCUCACUUAAUACUAAUUUAGCUUUUGGUUUCCAUUGAGCUUCAAAGACAUCAAACUAUAAUGGCUUCCAAAGCUACCGUCUCUCUUGCAUUUCUCCUUGCUCUCAAUCUUGUUUUCUCCUCCUUCGUUUACGCUGAGGCUGACAAGAAGUGCCCAAUAAACGCUCUUCAGCUCGGUGUUUGUGCAAAAUUGCUCGGGGGUGUUGUCGAUGUCGAGAUCGGCAAGACUUCUUGCUGCCCUUUGAUCGAGGGCCUAGUUGAUCUUGAUGCUGCUGUGUGCCUUUGCACUGCUGUUAAAGCCAAAGUGUUGGGACUGAAUCUCAACAUUCCCGUCGACCUCUCCUUGAUUCUCAAUGGCUGCAAUAAGAAACUUGUUGAGGGCUUCACAUGCUAAAUUAAUUUAUGACCAUCAUUUACUUUCGUUGCUAUUUCAUUGUCUAAUUUGUUUUCAAUUGUUCCAAUUUUAUAUUUCUUGCAGUCGUUUCCUUAAUAAGUUCUCACCUAUUGAUGAUUGUAUCAAUGAGUGACACUAUGUUAUAAAAUCAAGAAUUUAAUAUAUCAAUUCUAUGUUAUUAUUUUCAUAAUUCUUCCUCAGUAUUUAUUAAAAUGUUCUUUGUCAUCCAGUAAUAGGCGAUAAAUCGACAUUUAUGACUUUUCAUUAUUUCUCAAAUGAUAUUGUUUACUUUAACCAUAAUGAAAACAGAAAACAGAAAAGGAACGGUUUCUUUUCUUUGACAGUAUGUGAUAAGAAUAAUAUAUCAAAUAUUUUAUUUGAAAGUAAUAGCAUUGAUCGUCCAAGUUCAGCCAUUUUUCUAACCUUGACUAAUUAAAAAGUAAAGUUUUUUUUUAAAAUACAAAUGAAAUAUAUAUGACAUAAUAUCCUUUUAAAUAUGUAAAGAUCAUGCCUAAAAAACUUUUGAAGUCAAUACUUUUAUCCUCUUUUUUUUUUUAUAUAGUUUUUUUUUAACAGAUUAGACUAUUUCUCCAAAUUAUCAACUGCAAAAUUAGACAUGCAAUGAAUCAUAUACAAUUGGUGUAACACCUGCGCCUAUCCUCUCCAAUCCAUCCCGUUGCCUUCCACUGAUCGAAUCCCCAAUCAAUAAUCCUCCGUCAAAGUCUCGUCUUCGCAAACAUUGAGUUCAUUAGAUUCUGCAACUAUCUUCUAGCUUCUAUUUUAUCAAGAUCAUCAAGCUCCUUAAUCCAGGCUUUUUUAUUCUCCUCAUUCAAACCAUUUUUUCUUUUGCACCAAUCUCUGAUGGAUGAAGAUUAUACUUGUUUGAGCCUUUUCAUACAGGAGUAUCCAGAAUGACAAGGUCGGUAGGUAUUUUUCCACCAAAGCUCAAUGUUUUGCUUGAAUUCAACAUCUUGUAGAAAGACAUUAGUGAAUCUGAAUGAUGUGGGCCCAUCUCAAAAUUUGCUGUUUCAAGAACAAGGGGAAGUGAUAGAAAUAAUACUUUAUGCAUGCACUAUAUAUUUAUCUUUGUGGUAUACUGCUUUAUGUUUGUGGUAUGUGUAUGCAUGAUUUAAAAUGAAUUAAUUUUAAAUUUCAAUUUACUAAUUCCUAGUUAAUGGAAAAAAAAAAACAAAAAAACAAUGAGGGCUCCAUAAAAGUAGAAAAAGAAUGACAUAAUAUGAGCAAAAGAAAACGUGAAAUGAAGUAGAGAGAGAGAGAAAAAAAAAGGAAUGAAAGACAAGGACACACCAUGAAGAGAUAAAAAAUAAAAAAUAAAAUAAAACAAUAACAUAACUUGAAAGCGCAAGAAUGUAAUAUAAGUUCUCAUAAUUGACAAGGUAUUUUUAACAGGUUCAAUCUCAACUAUAUUGCAUUCUCUGUUUAAUGAUUUUACAUCUACCUUAUUUUGUUUUUCUUUUUAUAUUCAUAUGUGUUACGAUUAAUUUAUAUAUACUUCGAUUAAUCUUACAGAAGAAUUCGUUGAUCCUUACAACAAUUGUAACAUGUAUAUUUUUCAAUAAAGAUAUUAUAACAAAAAUGUUCAAACGUGAACAUUGUAAGCUUUUGCAACAUAUAUAAAAUAGUGGAAGCAACUUAUUACAAACAAAAUAUAAUUCAAUCUAUCAAAUCCUAGGAAAGACAUCUUUUGAUGUCCUACCCUAUUGCUAAAAACGUAAAACUUCAUUGCCUUGGAGUCAUCCAUGAUCAUUUAUUUGAAAUUGAAUUCAUUUUAGAAAGAAAUUUUCCAAGAGAUGAGUACAAAUAGUCCAUAAACAAUUUUUACGUCGAGAUUUGAAAUUCAUUCUCAUUCUGUAAAUCAUAAAACAAAUCAUUUUAGAACUUUCAGUCAAACUUUGCUGCAAAAGUAUAUUUUCAAAACUAAAACUUUCAAACAAAACUUUUUUGAGACUAUUUCAAGGAAAAACUCUAGGGUAUUAAUUGAUAGGUAGAUUUUCACUGUAGAUUAAACCUAUUUACCUUUUAACUAUUUUUUGAAAUUAUUUCUUUGUUUAGCAUUAGAUCAAUUCAUGGAAAUCAUUAAUUUAUAUUGUUAUUAUUUUUAUAAUUUCAUAUAUAUGAGAAUUUUGAACUAAUAAUUUUUUUUUAAAGUAAAAACUAGAGGUGAGAGAUUUUAACGCGACUAAUUAUUAUUGACCCCUACGCCAUAUAUAUAAUCUCUAUCAUAAUUGGGAAUCUUAAAUUGAAUUUGGAAGCUAGGUGGCAAAAUAUUAAUUUAUUAUUCUCAUUGGAAAACUUUCAUAUUAGUGGGAGUGGUGUGUGAUGAUGGAGAAUUGUUCAAAAUAGAAAAGAGCAUGGCAAUAUUGCAAACAUAUAUAAUAUAUAAUUUAGAAUUCUGAACUCUCAAUUUCAACGCUUGAUGGAAAUUAUUAACAUAUGUUGUUUCUAAUUCAAAACUUACAAUGUUAGUGGAAAUGGUGUACAUAUGGGCUAUUAUAUAAAACCAAAAGAGUAUAAUAUUGCUCAUAGAGUUUAAACACACAAAUUUUUAAUUAGACAUGCGAAACAUAUAUAUUUUCUUUAAGAACUUAUAAAAUUUAUUUUAGAGAUUUUCUCUUUUAUUGCAUAUGUUUAGUUCUCCAUUCAUCUAUACUGCUUAUAUUUGCCAUAUAUCAUGCCAGAUUAUUGGAUAACAUUAGUCUAAAAAAACAAUACAUGUCACAUUACCACUAAACGUAUUUUAAUUUCAAAUAUUACAAUGUAAUUAAACUAUUGAAUAGAAGAAAAUAAAUAAUAACAACAACAAUAAUAAUGUAGUAGAAAGUACUUUUUGAACUAGAGAUUCCAUUUAUGCUAAUACUAUAUAACAUAGUAAAUUCUUGUGUUACCAUAUAUUGAAGAAUCUAAUUUAAAAAAACAAAAAAACGCAUGCAUUAACCUUAAAUUUCAAGUAAUUGCUGCACCCAAAGAUUGAGGAAUGGAAACAUGCUAAAUAAUUGUGUGAGUCCCCAUCUUACAAAUGAUCAAAAUUAAUUAAGUUGACAUAAACAUGUGAUUAGGUUUUUAAGUAUGUGCCAGCUAAAGUCAUCACGCAAUAAUAUGAAGAUGGAGUUGUCAUUAUUACUGUUUCUUAAGAAUAUUUAAUUUUAUUAUCAGUUUCGUAAUCCUCUUAGGCCACAUUCAUCUUCAAAAAUUAAACCCUAUAAAAACCCUGAAACCCCUAUCUCCAAUUCUCACACACCCAAGCUAACCCUUACUCAAUACUAAUUUAGCUUUUGGUUUCCAUUGAGCUUCAAAGACAUCAAACUAUAUGGCUUCCAAAGCUACCGUCUCUCUAGCAUUUCUCCUUGCUCUCAAUCUUGUUUUCUCCUCCUUCGUUUACGCUGAGGCUGACAAGAAGUGCCCAAUAAACGCUCUUCAGCUCGGUGUUUGUGCAAAAUUGCUCGGGGGUGUUGUCGAUGUCGAGAUCGGCAAGACUUCUUGCUGCCCUUUGAUCAGUGGCCUAGUUGAUCUUGAUGCUGCUGUGUGCCUUUGCACUGCUGUUAAAGCCAAAGUGUUGGGACUGAAUCUCAACAUUCCCGUCGACCUCUCCUUGAUUCUCAAUGGCUGCAAUAAGAAACUUGUUGAGGGCUUCACAUGCUAAAUUAGUUUAUGACCAUCAUUUACUUUCGUUAUUAUUUCAUUGUCUAAUUUGUUUUCAAUUGUUCCAAUUUAAUAUUUCGUGCCGUCGUUUCCUUAAUAAGUUCUCACCUAUUGAUGAUUGUAUCAAUGAGUGACAUUAUGUUAUAAAAUCAAGAAUUUAAUAUAUCAAUUCCAUAUUGUUAUUUUCACAAGUCUUUCUCAAUAUUUAUCAAAAUGUUCUUUCUCAUCGAGUAAUGGGGGAUAAAUCGACAUUUAUGAUUUUUCAUUAUUUCUCAAUUGAUAUUGUUUACUUUCACCAUAAUAGAAAUGGAAAAGGAAUGGUUUCUUUUCUUUGACGGCAUGUGAUAGGAAUGGAUAUAUCAAACAUUUUAUUUGGAAGUAAUAGCAUUGAUUGUGCAAGUUUAGCAAUUUUCUAACCUUGACUAAUUAAAAAGUAAUAUAUUUUUUUUAAAAUACCAAUGAAAUAUAUAUGACUAUCAUAAUAUCCUUUUAAAUAUGUAAAGAUCCUGCCUAAAAAACUUUUAGUAAAUUGGUAUAAUACCUGCGCCUAACCUCUCCACUCCAUCUCGUUGCCUUCCGCUGAACGAAUCCCCAACCAGAAAUCCUCCAUCAAAGUCUCUUCAUCGCACACAUUUGUUUCCUCUGAGUUCAUUACAUUCGGCAACUAUCUUCUAGCUUUCUGCGGAAUCGACAACCCCACCCGUUUCUCUACCGUCGUCGCCACCUCCUAUACCGUCUGAUUUCACAAUUUCGAUUUCAUCUUCUCUUCCUUCAUCGCCUUCUUAUCCAUCUCUACCCUGCUACCGGUACUCCACCGGCCAUCAACUCCCGCACUGUUUUGCCGCCACCUCGGACAGUAUCCUACCG
rnacentral:lncRNA from 1 species